rnacentral:lncRNA from 1 species
CUGGCUGAAGUGAGAACAAUUGGGAAUCUCAAUCACAUGAACCUGAUUGCGAUGUGGGGUUACUGCGUGGAGGGAAGGCACAGGCUCUUGGUUUAUGAGUUCAUGAAUCACGGUUCCUUGGCAGAAAACCUUUUUUCCGAUCAACUCGACUGGAAGAAGAGGUAUGAGAUCGCGGUGGGAUCAGCCAAGGGGCUUGCUUAUCUUCACGAGGAGUGCUUGGAAUGGGUUCUCCAUUGCGACGUGAAGCCACAGAACAUACUCCUCGAUUCCAAUUACCAACCAAAGGUGGCCGAUUUUGGGCUCUCUAAGCUACUUAACAGAGAGGGCCUUAAGAAUACAAGUUUCUCAAGUAUCAGAGGAACGAGGGGUUAUAUGGCUCCUGAAUGGGUUUACAAUAUGCCAAUCACCUCCAAAGUGGAUGUGUACAGCUAUGGAAUCGUUCUGUUGGAGAUGCUGACAGGAGGGAACCCGGUCGCAGGCCAUGCCAUCCGCGGUGAAAUAAAAGGCGACAACAAAACGUUCACUUCCUGGGUGAGAGAGAAGAUGAAACCAGGGUUGCCCAUGGAGACAUGGAUAAGGGAAAUUGUGGAUCCGACCGUAAAGGAACCUUACGACAUCAAGAAGAUGGAAGUUUUGGUUGCGGUGGCGCUUCAGUGUGUGGAGGAGGACCGAGAUGCGAGACCCACCAUGAGCCAGGUGGUUGAGAUGCUUCUGCGCCAUGAAAGUGAGGAUCUGUAAUCGAAUACAAGCAUAACUGCUCAUGUUCUAGCUCUAAAUAAGUGGACAAUUGCAAAAGCAAUAGUCUUUGGAUGUACGAACCUAGGAAAGAUAUUUUAGUAAGUGUUUAGGAACAAGCCAUUGUCUAUCUCUAUUUUAUCAUAUUGUAAAUCUAGGAAACAUUAUUUAACAGGAUAGUUCCCUAUAAAGAAAGAUCAUUCAACAACCAGGAUGCAAUAGCUCUCUUGUUACUAUUUGUCUUUGGUGCGUCUAAUCCAGUCUUGUGAAUACACGGUUGAUUUGGCAUGGUUUAGAUCGGUAAAUAUAAAGGUGCCAUAAGUGCACGAAAUAGUACGCUUCUUCUUAAUAACAAAUUAUUGACUAGAUAAAAUAGAUACAAUUUGUAAUUUCUGUUGACCCUCGAAUUUUCGUCAACGUUUGAAAUAUCAAUUUAUUUUGCAAAAAUAUAAAAAAUAUAUAAAGGUAAAAAGAAUGUAAUAAAAUGAAAAGUCGGGUCCAGUAGGCCCGCAUGUUCAGCCCAUCCUUCCAAUGAAUUUUCGGCCCUUUCAAAAGUAAAGCCCAUCUUCCCAUUCAUUUCUUCCUUUCGGCCCACUUUUUCCCUCUAUCCGUUGAGCCCAUCUCUUUUAAUGUUUUCAUGGUCCAUUACAGUUUAAAAUAACAAAGAGAGACAAGAGCCCAGCCCAAUGUGAUUUCUUCCUCUUUGCUUACAUGAGCCAACGCCGUGAAGAGGAAAAGAAAAAGAGGCGCGGAUGAGGAGGGGACGGCAACGAGCAAAGCGUGAACGCGUGCCCGUGAGCGAGGGAGGAACAACAAGCUGUGAUGCAAGCAAAGCCAAGCCUUUUAGAAGGCUGAGCUGGCGUGAGGGAUGAGGAGAGGCCUAACCGAAAAAAUAUUCGGAGAGAGGUGCGGGGAGCAUGCGUGAGGGACAUCCUGUUUUUUCUUCAUGCCGUUUGGGAAUUAAGAACAGAAAUUUCAAUCUAUAAGAUUAUGGUCUAAUCUUGUGAAGCCAGAGAUAUAUUUGUGAGGGACGAUAUAAUUUGGACUCUUAUAUAUCAUUUUUAGACAGAAAAUCAUAUCAAAGUCGGAUCGGAGGCUUGUUCUUGUACAGCACGUCACCUAUUUGAUAAAAUGCCCGAAUGAUAUACUGAAAUCCAUGCUAUCCGAUCGGCGUUAGAAGUUUAGUUUGAUGUUUCAUUGUUCUUAUAUUGUUGAAGGACGUCUCACUUUCGUGUUUUUUUAUGUGACGUGGAAACUAAUCUGUCGUGUCAUCGAGUCGGCCAUGGAUGAAUACCUCGCUGGAGAUGCUGUUCCUUCAGCAUAUCUCUCUAUUUUAAUGUGCUUGUGUUUGUUUGUUUGCCGAGAAUGCUGGUGUAAGAGGUUUAUGUAUGGUGAGAUGUUUAUUUUUUAUGUUUUAAUGGUCGCCGGAAUGGCCGAUCGGAAGUGAUGAACGCCGGUCGGUCGUGUUGGCCGGCGAUGAUUAGGACGGUGACCGGCGGCCAGAUGGCGGUGGUGUUGAGUGUUUCUCGACGGCGGAGACGUAGCGGGAGUUCGGCCCCAUUAAAGGAGGAGCCAGUACGCUGAAGACGAUGCCGGGUCGAAGAAGAUGGGCGGAAAAAGACAAAAUAGGGGGCAAAAAAAAAAGGAGAAAAGGAAAGCAGGAAAAAUGGAACCGUAGAAAAAUAAAAGGGCCAGGGGGUAUUCUGUUGUGGGCUGGGCUGGGCGGAAAAAGAGUUAAAAGGAAAAAAAGUUCACGGCUUUUAUAAUUAAUUCUGAGUGGGCUUUUAGCGUUAAUGUUUUUAGCCCAACCCAAUCCAAUAGGGUUCGGGUUGGUUUACAUGGGUCGGGUCUCUUGACCCGGUCCGAAUCCCUUUUAUAUUAAUAAUAAAUAAAUUUAAAAAUUUUUAAAAUGAUAAACAAAAUUAAAAUUAAAAUUAAAAAUUCGAAAAUGAAAAAUAUUAUCAUUAAAGAUUCAGAAAAUGAUAAAAAAAAUUAAAAGCUUUAGGAAAUAAUAAAAAAUUUAGAAAAUUUGAAAAUCAAUAAAAAAAAAUUAGAAAUUUUAGAAAAUAUUAAAAAUUUGAACAUUCAAAAUGAUAAUUUAUUAAAAAAAAAAUUAAGAGGAUCCUUUGGAACUAAAACCUAGAAUUGGAUAAGCCUUUAGGGUUUUAUAAUAGGGAUUCUUGUUUUGCUUUAUCUUGUUUUCUUUUUAAGGGACAAUUUAGGAUGCUUGCAUAUUCUCUAUUAUGAUUAUAAUUGACUGCACUUUUCAAUAUUCGGAUGCUAUUCCCUUGUUUUAGAAUGGUUAAAAUAAACCUUAUAAUUUUCUUGAUAGGUUGCCACGGCAUUAAUAAGCACAUGAUUAGGUUAGGAAUCGAAAGGGUGUUAACCUUAGGGCUAACAUAAUCAAGUACCCGAAUCCAAAAUCUCUAGUUACGUAAAUAGUAAGAUAUCAUCCCUAUCUUAAUAGGUUUCUAAUCAAGCCAAAAAAGGCUAGUGGCGAUUCCUUAGUCAAAAUUUGCAUAAGCUUAAUUGAUUAAAAAUUUGAAUGCUCGAUAUUGCAUGAGGCAUAGGUUUGAGAAAGCUUGAGUCAAUGGAAGGCCAUUAGCCUGAAGUUGACAAUACCCUUAAAUACAACCUCCCCCACGAGAGGGGUUACAUUGCAACAAUUUCCUUUUUAGACACUGUUUUUUUAACAUAAAUAUCUCCAUACACUUCUUCAUUCUUUUUCAACCGUGCUUUGCUAUGAGCUAGUCUACUACCUAAACCAAAGCAGUUCACUUAGGUUAUGGAAUUUGCUAUCUAAAAAUAGUUCAAACCUAUUGAUACCAAAAGUUGAUUUGGUUAUCGAUAUGCUUGUGCUUAGCAUGAGAAUGAGAAAUAUGUGGCAUAUGAGUAGGGAUAAGUAGCAGCUACAUGCAUGAUGCAUGAGCGUCACCUUAUACAGCCGUCAACAAAUACAGGAGCUAACACACGGUGAUCAAUGACGAUAUUCUUUAAUAUUAUGUGUCUAGUUGUCAAAAUAUGAUAACGAACGGUUGGUGGCUGCCUAUAUGAGCACUAGCAGCAAGUUUUCAUUGGAAGUAUUUCAAAUACUAUUCAAAUUACCAAGACUGUGGGCAUCGAGAGUGCACGUUGCGGAGGGAGCUGUUGCCAUUCAUACACCCCAUCAUGGAACGAUCGUUGAUAAGUGCCACUUAUCAACGCACAAUGAGGACUGUUAAACAAAACAUGGGCAAGUGAAGCUUGUAGGAAUGAAGGAGUAUGGGCGAGGCCAAUGGAAGUUACUUAGAAAAACAAUAUCUAAGCAUAGUCGAGGAGCAAUUACUACACCUUUGCUAUAAGUGCCACUGGCUAUCCAACAAGAAACCCUUGGCAUGAAUCAAACAAAAUAUUAUCUUUCAAUUAUCUUUACUUUCCUACAUUGUACUUAAAUUUCCUUAGCUAUAGUUUCAUAUUCACAUCGUCAAUUAGAUUCUAACAUGCAUUUUAAUCCUGAUACCUCGUUGUUGAUUGAAUUUUAGCAUUGUAUCUGAAUAUCCUCGAUUUAUGUUAUCGAUUGAAUCUAGCAUAAUUCAAUAUUGAUCUUGUAACUUUUGGGCCUUGUCAUUGAUUAUUCAAUUCCGACUCUGUAUGAGAUUGUGUAGUGUUGUUUGGAUUAAAGAAGCUUGAUUCCUCUUUGUAUGAGACGUCUUGUGUCCAGAGUUGGCUCAAAACCCUUGUUCCCUUUAGUAAAAUCAAAGAAUGAUUUUCAGUGAAAGAUAUUUCAUUAGAGAGUGGGCAAAACAGAACCAUAUACAAGAAAUUUGGAAAGUGUCGUCUGAUUUUAUUUACCCUAAGUAUGGUUACAGGUUCCCAGGGUUUCAAUGAUGCUUAAGAAAGUUUGAUCCAAUUUUCACGGAUGAUUACUCUGCCGUCCGAUCUCCAAUUGACUUGAAUGUUGAUACGUUAGAAGUUAGAGACAUUCCGACAACAUUGGAGACGGGACUUCGAUUUCGAGGGAUCAUACAAGCGUCAAUUGAACAAAACCCAUUUAUGAAGUCAGGAAGACAUUUUGGCCCGUUUUAGUCAAGUUUGGCCAGACUCUACUAAAUUAUUGACUUUUUGAAUAUGAGUCGAAAUUUGAGAUGUCUAUUAUUAGAAAUUAGACUAUAUUUUCUUUCAUUUUCUCUAGUCAUGCCUUUCCUUUUAGGUUAUAAAUAUGAACGUUGCCCAUUUUAAUUGUAAGUUAAUUUUCACGUUAGUGAUGUCCAUAUUUAUACCCAAUGAUAAUAGAAAAAUUAUAUAGUCUUUAUAUAUUUAUACUUUAAUCAAUGUAAUGCAAGGAUUUUGGGAGAUCCAUGGAGAAAAUUGCUGAUUCUGGCACAAACAUUGUGAAUUAAUUGUUUAGUGUGCUGAAGUGGAUGCUUAGUGGAAAAAAAAAUUAGAAAUGUCAAAACUUUUGUAUGCAAUUCAAUUUAGUGUUAUAACUUUUAGGUCACUCAUUUAAAUUCCUCAACUUUCAAAGUGUCAUCACAUAAUUUACACUAACGUCUUUGAUCGCUGAAAAAGGUGAUGUGGCAUUAUUUUUUAUGAUAAGCCUGCUCCUCCAGGGCUCUUCUACAUAAUUAACAAUAUAAUGUGGCAAAUGGGUGUGGAAAUUGUAAUAUUUGAUUGAGAAGGGUAGGGCCUGGGAAAAAAAAAAGAUAGAAAAAAAGUUGAAAAAGUCAAAAAAAAAGAAAAGGAUGUUCAACUCCUUUGAAGACUAAGAGCCUACCUAGAAAAAAGGAGAGAGAAAAGAUAAAAAUAAAAAUAAAAAUAAAAAUAAAAGAGAGGAAGGGAAAUAAGAAGGAAAAAAAGGCAAAAAGAUAAAGAAGGAAUUUACGAAUACAUGCCACGGUGCGCUCAUCAAACCGAAUUUAUUUUGAUUUGGAACGGCCAUUAAGGAUUUAAGCCAUUCGUUCGUCUAAUCAUAAUAGUUUUCAAAAUUAUGGCACAAUCUCAAAGUUAUGUAUUGAAUUGCAAGGCCUAAUUUUUGAAUUGUUCAACUAAGAAAUUUCAUAGGAAUCAUGGAUUGUGUGAAUAUGAGAUGCAAAGUAAUGGGGAGUGGUAAGAAAAUGAGUCAUCUUUGUUCAUGCACCGUAUGUUUGUCAUAAUAGGCUUCAACUUUGGGAGGAAUUAUGUUAGAUAAUUUCUAUGAACAUGUUACCUUGGGUGCGUUUGAGGGAUUUUAACGAAGUAUUAUUCCAUUAGGAGAAAGCAGGGAAGUGCAUGGCUAAGAAAUAUAAAAUAACAGCUUUUCAGAAUUUUCUAGAUUCUUGUUUUUUUUAUGGACAUAUACGGCAAGGGAUGUGCCUUUACUUAAAGAACGUCUUGAUAGGGUGGUGUGCACUGUUGAAUGGAAAUUAUUAUUCCCUAAAGCAUAAGCAUUUGCACUUCCAGCCACCGGGUCAAACCAUAGUCCUAUCCUUUUAUCUUUCAAGCUCGAACCUGUUAAACGGAGAAAAGGGUUCAAGUUCAAAGCCUUUUGGCUUGAGAAUGAUAAAUGUAGAACAAUUAUGAAAGAGACUUGGAACUCUACUUACUAAGUAGGGAUAAAGGUAGUUGCGAAGUUACGUGUAGUGGUAUUGCCUUAUCCAAAUGGAGUUAAAAAAAAAUGGGAAUGGACAUAAAAGAAUAGACUCAUUGAAGUAGGAACUUCAACAAUGGAUAAACAAUAAUGGAGGAUAUUCCGAAAUGGAAAGGGUCAAGCACUCACAAAGGGAAAUUGAGGCAUUAUGGAGGUAGGAAGAUAUGUAUUGGGGCUGAGAACAAGAAUUAAUUGGUUGAAAUGCAUGACAAAACCACUAAAUUCUUUCAUGCCACCAUUGUUUAACAACAUCAAAGAAUUUCCAUGUCGCAAAUAUCAUAAGGAAUAUGGGUUGAAGAACCGAGCCUUCUUAAGGAAACUACUAAAGAAUUUUUCUUAGAACUAUAUCAAUCUAUUGGACCCCAAAUGUUCUUUCCUGUUUUAGAUUAAUGCUCUUGAGCGGUGACAAAAGAAUUGAAUCAAUUGCUAUAGAUGCUUUGGAAGAAGUAAAAUGUGUAGUUUUUCAACUUUGUGCAUCUAAAGCACCAAGGUCAGAUGGCCUUAGUGAAUAGUUUUACUAAGCUGGGCAAAAAUCUAGAGUGAGGUCUUCCAAGCAGUGAAGGUAACAGGACCAAUAUUUCACUUAUCCCAAAAGUCCCUAAUCUCGAGAGGUCAAACCAAUGAUGGUGAAUAGGCUUAAUUCGUUGUUGCUGGAUCUGAUGCUACAAAUAGAGUGCAUUCGUCGGGGAACACAAAUUUAAGAUAACAUAUUCAUUGUAUAAGAGAUGCUACAUCAAAUUAGAAUUUGCAAAAGAAAAAGAAAUUCCAAGCAAUUCUAAAACUUGGAGGUGUAGACUCUUAGAGUGCCAAAACUUAACAUGAGGAGACACUUUAGUGCCAAAAAUUUCAAAAGGCACACUUAAAUAUCAAAAUCGGAGGAAAAAUAGAACACUCAAGUGCCAACAACGAGAAAUUCUGGUCAAACUACUAACAUGGCAUUUCUUUGGCGAGAAAAGUACAAAAUGACAUUGUUUUUUGCAUUGACUUGGCUAGAUAGGUGCAAAAUGACGUUUUUUAUGCUAACAUGGCCCAAAAUUAAAUUUUAAUAGAAAUAUUAAUUAAAAUAGUUGUUUUUUUUUUUUAAAGGGAGAGUAGGUUCGAUGAGGGUUGUGCAAGCCCUUGCCGAAGCUUGCUAUAGAUCCCCUUUUUUUAAUAAAAAUAAUUUUUUUCAUUAAUAUUUAUAUUAAUAUUCAAUUUUGGGGCCAAAUGACGUCGUUUUUGUCAAAUCAUCGUUGAGUUGGCUUUCAGCGAGUCACGUAGACCACAUACACUAUUAAACAAAUGCCAUGUCAAAUCUCUAGCUACUCUCGCCGGACUUAGCACCAAUGUGUCCCACUUUUCAAAAACAGUGACACUUAAGUGUAUUUUUUAAAACAUUAUAUGCUAAGGUGUCCAUGUGUGCCAAGUUCUUACACUCCUGGUGUACUUUAUCCUGGAAACUUGAUAUGAAAAAGGCAUGCAAGCAAGUGGAGUGUGACUUCCUUAAGGCACAUUUAAUUAGAAUAGAUUUUGAUGAAAAAUGGGUGGAUAAUGCAAUGCCUCACAACUAUCUCAUUUGGUGUCAAGUUUAAUGGAGAGCCACUUCAAUAUUUUAAGCCAACAUGAGGGAUUAGUUAAGGGAACCCACUAUCCCCCUACUUAUUUAUUCUGAUGGCUAAUGUAUUAUCCUCACCAUUGAAGAUUGCAGUUGAUAAUGGUAGCAUUAAAGGGAUUAUACUUAACAAUGGAGUCCUACCCUUUCUCAUAUACUCUUCGCAGAUGGCUUCAUCAUCUUGUUAGAAAGGAAAAUUCUGGAACGUCAGAAUUUGGCAACAAUUUUAAAUCAAUACUGUGUACUAUCUGGACAAGAUGUAAAUUUGAACAAGUGUGGGAUUUAUUUCAAUAGGGACUACCCCCAUAGUUUAAAAGAGAAUAUGGCAAGGGUGCUAAGACUACCUAUAAUGGAUAAAACAAGGAAAUAUCUAGGGACUCCUUUAGAUUGGGUAGUAUCAAAGAAAUAGAUGUUUACUUGGAUUUUGGAAUGGGUAAGCACAAAGUUAAAAGGAUGGAAUGAGAAAUUGAUGUCAAAAGCAAGGAUUGGAGUCAAAAGCUAUAAAUGGGGAGCUUAUGUAAAAGGAUGUCAUCUUGCAGCAAUAGGAUGUAGAAGAUUCACGUAUGUCGAGCUAAAGAAAGCAACCAAAACUUCCAUGAAGAGAUUAAAAGAGGAAGUAGGGAAUUGUUCAGGGCCUCAUGCAAGAUCACCGGGUAGCUAUGAUCAGGGGGAUGUACGAUGUUAACUAAGGAGAAGAGGCCUUCCAAGCUGAAGUGAGAACUAUUGGGAAUCUAAAUCACAUGAACCUUGAUCAAGAUGCAAGGGUACUGUGUAGAGGGCGAGCACAGGCUCUUGGUUUAUGAGUUCAUGGAUCACGGUUUUUUGUCUAAAAAUAUUUUUUCUCCUCAACUCAACUGGACCAAAAGGUUUGAGAUCACCGUAGGAGUAGCCAAAGGGCUUGCUUAUCUUCAUGAAGAGUGUUUGGAAUGGGUUUUCCAUUGUGAUGUGAAGCCGCAAAAUGUACUUAUUGAUUAGAGGUGGCGGAUUUUGCGCUCUCUAAGGCCAUGUUUGGUAACCAACCAAACAGUAACUAUUUAUGUUCUUUUGUUCCUAAAAAAAAAAAAAGAAGAACAAAAAGCCAUUGUCCCUAGGAAUAGAUUUGGAACAAAAUUAAAAAGUAAAUAAAAAAAAAACUACUUCUUUGUUCAGAAUCAAGCCUAAACCAUUAUUUUCCUUUUAUGUUCUCCUUUUCUUCUUCUUCUUCUUCUUCUUCUUCCUUCAGUUGGUCACCAGCCUCGGCCAUGGUUAAUGACCAGCUAGAGGAGGGCUGAUGACCUUGCCAAAGCGUGUUACCGGUCCUUAACGAGGCUAAGCCUAGUUGAGCCAAGCCUCCUCAUGUCUUGGCGAGGCUUAACCUGGGUGAGCUCAGCCUCAUUAGAUCUGGACAAGGUCGACCUCAUCAGAGGCCCACGACACUCCAGUAAGGUCAUCGGCCAAGGUUGAGGUCGACAAUUGAGAAGAAAGUAGAAAAAGAAGAAAAGGAAAAAAGAAAAGAGAAAAUUUGUAAUAAAAUUAUAAAAAAUAUUAAAAGAAAUUAUAAGUUGCAAAAGAAUUUGUGAGUCAUACGGAAUGCAUUUUUGUACCAAGAAUAUAAAUUUUGGACAGUUAUUAAGCGCCUUCAAAUGUUCAUAAGUUUAUCCAAGAAACAGAAUAAGAAAAAACCAUUUCUAAGCAAAAAUUAUUUUCGAGAACAAAAUGAUUACCAAAUACACCUUAAGCUUCUUAAUAAAAAUGGCCCUAAGAAUAUUAGUUUCUCUCUUACUCUUUUUAUCGUUUAGGGCAUAUUUAGUUGAAUAAAUGAAAUAGAUUGUGAUCAAAGCCGAAAAGCCUCUCUCUCCUCUCCCUUUUCUUUCUAUUGUCUUCUUCAUCCUUAAGCCAUGGGGGAGGGUUUGAGCUAGUCUCAUCCCCCCCUUCCUUAUUUGUUGAUUUUUUUUUUUGUUGCAUUUUAUUGUUAUAAUCUUUCUUUUUAUUCUCUCUCAAUUUUAGAUCUACUCUAGUUCUUGAUUUUAAAGUUUAAACUCCCCUGAUCUAAUUUUAGAUUUGGGCGCUACCUUCUCCCAAUCUAGAUUUGAGAGUUUAAUAAACAUGCUUUUAGGGAUUCGAUACCCUUCAACUCUGGUCAUGUACAAAUUCCAUACCUCUAGCUUCAACGAUGAUCAUUUUAGUAUCUUGUUAAAUUACGAAAAUUUGCUCAUCUAUAUGUUAGAUCUAUAUUUAUUCAAUCUACUUUGGUUGUCUCCACACAACGAUGGUGUAGAUGUUGCCGAACUUAGGGGCACACAUGCACAUUUCAAACCUAGUUAAUAAUCUAGUCCUGUGGGUUAAGUGAGAGGACCUCAUCUCUAAUUUUGCAAUAUCUAAGGUUGGCUAUGACAACAUGCUCCAAUUUUCAUUGGGAUAAUGACAAUGAAAAUCCUAAAACUCUUCUUUCUUUUUUUUGUAAAAGUAAUAUUUCAUUAAUUUCUACAAAUGUACAAAAGAGGAACAAUGUAGUUCAACUGCAAACCAAAAUAAACCUUUUGCAACUUCAAAUUAAAAAUAAAUUGCAAAUAACAAGAUAGUAAUAUAUCAUUAAUUUCUACAAAAAUACAAGAGAGAAACAAUGCAAUCCAACUACAAACCAAGAUAAACCUUAUACAACUUCAUAAUAAAAAUAAAUUCCAGAUAACAAGAUAAAUUAUUAAAACAAGGUUAAGAGUCACAUGCUCAAAGAGUAGAUUUGUAACUUUUUCAGAUCAAAUCGGUGACCGAUCACCAAAUUCGUCUUUGAUAAUACAUGCACACCAAAAUCUCCAACUGUUGCUAUAACUUUGCCUUUCGACAGUGCUUACCUACAUUUGGUGUCCUCACUACCAUCCUUGUUCAAAGCCACAAGUUUGAAUGGGUGCAAAUUUGAAACUUGUGAAAGCAGAACCUUUGCGAAGCUCCUUCAAACUCUUUCGAAAUUGGAUUGUACACCAACGAAACCCAAGGGAAGGAAAACCCCAAAAUCAUACACCAAAAAUCCUAAAUCUAGAUUAGACUAGGGUAGAAAUCUCCCGAAAUGGGAGAGAGAAGUUUCAAGAUCUAAAUUAGUAGAACAAGUUUAAGAGUUGCAUGCUCAAAGAGCAUAUCUGUAACUUCUUCAAAUCAAAUCGGUGGCGGAUCACCGAAUCAUCUUCAGUAAUGCGUACACACCAAGAUCUCCAAUUGUUACUACAACUUUGCCUUUCGGCGAUGCAUACCUAAAUUUGGCGUCCUCAAUACCAUCAUUAUUCAAAGCCACAAGGUUGAACGGGCGCAAAUUUGAUACCUAUGAAAAUGUAACCUUUGCGAAGCUCCUUCAAACUCUUUUGAAAUUGGAUUUGUACACCAACAAAACCUAAAGGAGCGAAACCCCAAAAUCAUACACCAAAAAUCCCUAAAUCUAAAUUAGGUUGGGGUAGAAAUCUCCCUAAAAUGGGAGAGAGAAGUUUCAAGAUCUAAAUUAGAUGAGAAGAGAAAAACUCCACAAAACGGGAGGAAAGCAAAAGAAGAAAACAUAGAUCUAAAUUUGCCAAAGAAAAAAAGGGAAGGGAGGGAGAGAUUUAGCUCAAACCCUCCUCUUCACUGUGGUUAAAAAAACGGCUAUGUAAUGAUGAGAGGAGAGAAAAAAAAAACCCUAAGCAUGUUGUAAGUCACAUUUAAUCCUAAAACUCUUUUUCUUCAAUUAUUUAAAUUCUAAAACCUGCCAUCAUCCUUCAAAUUAGUCAUUCCAUUAAUUCCCUUUCCUUCCUCUUUAAGGGAUGAAAAAGUCCAAGUUGGCAUGUUUUAUUAUUUAUUUCAUCCUGGUGGCUGCGAAGCUUGCUAAAAUCUAAAAUAGUGUUGUUUAACGCAACACAAUUUAUGUUAAUCCAAUUACUCUUUUAUAAAAUUAUCUAAUAACGAAAAACGAAUUAUUUUUUUUGUAGCUUGUAAAAUUAUUAGGAAAGGAAGUAGAAGUGCGUUAACCUCCUAUGUAGCCGGCGACCCUUGUUGGGGUCAGAGCAAGGGUGGUUGGCACUCUCGCCAUCACAGCAAGGGUGGUUUGCCAGCGGCAAAGAGGCACGCCACCCCUGCCCUUCCUGCCCACUUCUCACCAAUCUUUUUCUCUAUACUUCUUGCCCCUUGUUGUAACUUCAGUCUUUUUUUAUCAUUAAGGUUAUUUUUAAUGAGUCACAUUCGUGCCACUAGCACAAAAAAGAUUACCAAAAAAAAAAAAAAAAAGCCCAUAUGAAUUUUAUGCCCAAGAAAAUACGACAUUGUUCAACGAAAAGAGUAAUUUGAAGUACAAUGACGAAUUUAAGCCAUAAACAACUCCAAAAAGGAAAAAAAACGUUUUAAAAUUAAAGCGAUGUAUCCACACAAGUUUUAAAACUUCUACCGUCAUUAUCACACUAAUUUUAUCUGAUUCAUGGAAAGAUAUGCAGAAAACCUGAGGUGAGAAAAUUUUAUGUAAAAGUCUUCCUUUACGGAGAGGUGAUGGACAGAACAAGCUAAUUAUAUUAUACAAGUUACAUCGAAACUUGUGUUUUUUUUAGAGAGAACCUAUGAAUCUAGACUAUCUUUCCAAACUUGACCGAUGUGACCUUAUAAAUUAAUCGAAGCAAUGCUUUGUUCUAGCAGGAAGAUGGCACAUUAAAGCUGAAUGGUAGGUAAAUGCAUAUAUAAUGGCCUCUAAAAUAAAGAUUGGUUGGCGAACUAAAGGUAGGUCAACGCCGUUCGGUGUCCAUGUUCUUAAGGAGAUUCUUGGGUCGAAUUCAUGGUAUCCCACGCUUGAGGUGACGAUGGUCGAAGAGUGGUUUGUUGGUUGCUGUCACCGUAUUGGUCGACACGAAUCUCCGAAAGAUUUAUUUAUGAUUGAGAUUAGACGGAUGCUCUUGAGGGUAUCCUCCGUAUAAGUGCAUAAGGACGGUGAUUUGAACCUUGGAGCUUGUAUUGAUCGCUUGGUGAUUUGUUUUGUAUGCCAGCUCAAUCUAUGAGUAGAGCCAGCGACUUCGGGACCGGGAAAAAUAUCUCAGUACCGGCUAAGCCACAACCGGUUCCCUUGAACACCAUGAGAAACUCGUCAUUUCUCCUUGUGCUUAUUCUCUCAAUCCUUCACUUGUCUUCUCAACCUUCCUCUGCGACUCACGCUACCUUGAGCAGAGGCGACUCUCUCUCCAUUGACAACCCAGAUGACAUCCUCAUCUCAAAGUCCGGUGUCUUCUCCGCCGGUUUUUACCCUGUCGGCAAGAAUGCUUACUGCUUUGCCAUCUGGUUCAGCCAUCCACCGUGCAGCGGCCAGAAUUGCACCGUUGUUUGGGUGGCGAACCGCGAUGAACCCGUCAAUGGGAGGUACUCUAAGCUUUCCCUUAAAAAGAAUGGCAAUCUCGUGCUAACCGACGCCAGCCAGGCCGUUGUUUGGGCCACAGAAACAGACCCGCUGUCGUGUUCGAAGACACCGUUUCAUCAGUUACAGCUCCUAGACUCUGGUAAUCUUGUUCUUCGUGACAGAGAAUGCAAUGUCCCGCUCUGGCAAAGCUUCGACUACCCAACCGACGUGCUCCUCUCUGGACAGAAACUCACGAGGAACACACCUCUUGUUUCCUCUCGGAGCAACGGCAACUUCUCUUCUGGCUAUUACAAGUUAUACUUCGACAACGACAACGUCCUCCGUCUCCUCUUCGAUGGACCUUUGAUCCCAAGCGUAUACUGGCCAGACCCAGGUCGUGUGAGUUGGGAAGUUGGAAGAACAACCUACAACGAUAGUAGAGUUGCAGUGCUCGAUUCCUUGGGGAAUUUCACUUCAUCCGACGAUCUGAAGUUCCUGACGUCAGAUUUUGGCCAGAAAACCCAACGUAUGUUAAAGGCGGAUCAUGAUGGUAAUAUAAGGGUCUAUAGUAGAGAAAAAGAUGGGAAGUGGGCGGUAACAUGGCAAGGCUUAUCUGAGUCAUGUACUGUUCAUGGGAUUUGUGGACCGAAUAGCGUUUGCAGCUACAGCCCAAGUGAGGGGAGGAGUUGCUCUUGCCCUCCUGGAUACAUGUGGAGUAAUGACACUGAUUGGACUCAGGGAUGUGCGCCCAGAUUCGAGAGCUUCUGCAACAAGGGUGCUCGUGCUCAUGUUGAUUUCCUGCGUUUGCCUCACCAUGAUUUCUAUGGAUAUGACCGGGCCUAUUUUCGAAACACCACCCUGGCGUGGUGCAAGAAAAAAUGCGCAGAUCUUUGCGAUUGUAAAGGCUUUCAAUACAAAUUCAACGGGAACAGAGGGAGCUUCGACUGUUACCCCAAGAUACGGCUGCUAAAUGGAUAUUUUUCAUUAUCGUUUAAUGGAAGCAUCUAUUUAAAACUACCGAAAGCCAAUCUCUCUUCCUAUCAAAGACCCACCAAAGGAUCCAACUCACUGUCCUGUCCCCCAAAAGUUCAAGAAGUUUUCCUGCAGAGGACUUAUCUGAAAAGCCACAUGAAUUCAACACUCAACAUCUUGUUCACUGUUGCUAUGGUGCUAGCUGGAGUGGAAAUUGUUGUAGUCUUCCUCACAUGGUCCUUCUUGAUCGGGACUGAUCCUGACAAACUCGGAGGUUAUGCGAAGGGAUAUCAUCUUGCGGGAACAGGAUUCACAAGGUUCACGUAUGCCGAGCUAAAGAAAGCGACCAAGAGCUUUAGCAAAGAGAUUGGAAGAGGAAGUGGGGGGAUUGUGUACAAGGGUGUCUUGCCAGAUCAUGGGGAAGCAGCGGUGAAGCUGCUAAACGAGGCCAAUCAAGGAGAAGACGAGUUCCUGGCCGAAGUGAGAACAAUUGGGAAUCUCAAUCACAUAAACCUGAUUACGAUGUGGGGCUACUGCGUGGAGGGAAGGCACAGGCUCUUGGUUUAUGAGUUCAUGAAUCACGGCUCCUUAGCAGAAAACCUUUCUUCCCAUCAACUCGACCGGAAGAAAACGUAUGAAAUUGCGGUGGGAUCAGCCAAGGGGCUUGCUUAUCUUCACGAGGAGUGCUUGGAAUGGGUUCUCCAUUGCGACGUGAAGCCACAUAACAUACUCCUCAAUUCUGACUACCAACCAAAGGUGGCCGAUUUUGGGCUCUCUAAGCUACUUAACAGGGAGGGCUUUAGGAAUAUGAGUUUCUCAAGAAUCAGAGGAACAAGGGGUUACAUGGCUCCUGAAUGGGUUUACAAUAUGCCCAUCACGUCCAAAGUGGAUGUGUAUAGCUAUGAAAUCGUUCUGCUCGAGAUGCUAACCCAAGGGAACCCAGUCCAAAGUCAUGCCAUUGAUGGAGAAGUAAAGGGCGGGAACAAAAGAUUGACUACCUGGGUGAGAGAGAAGAUGAAACCAGGAGUGGCCAUGGAGACAUGGAUAAGGGAAAUUAUGGAUCGGACCGUAAAGGGACCUUACGACAUCAAGAAGAUGGAAGUUUUGGUUGCGGUGGCGCUUCAGUGUGUCGAGGAGGACAGAGAUGCGAGACCCAUCAUGAGCCAGGUGGUUGAGAUGCUUCUACGCCAUGAAAGUGAAAAUUUGUAAUCCGAUACCAAGAUAACUGCUCGUGUUCUAGCUCUAAGUAAGUGGACAGUUACAAAGGUAAUAGUCUUUGGAUGUACAAACCUAGGAAAGAUAAUUUAGUAAGUGUUUAGAAACAAGUCCCUAUUUAUCUCUAUUUUAUCAUCUUGGUAAUCUAGGAAAGAUCAUUUAGCAUGAUAGUUCCCAAUAAGAGAGAUCAUCCAACAAUGAGGACACAAUAGCUCUCUUAUUGUUGUUUGUCUUUGGUGCUUCUAUCCUUUAAAUCGGUAAACAUAGAGGUGCCUUAAGCCCAUCAGAUGGUAUACUUCUUUCUAAUAACAUAUUAUUGACUAGAUAAAAUAGUUACAAUUUGUAAUUUCUGUUGACAUCCGAAUUUUUGUUGACGUUUUAAAUAUUCAUUUAUUUUGCAAAAAUAUAAAAAAAUUAUAAAAAGGUAAAAAGCAAAAAAAAAAAAAAAUGAAUGAAAUGAAAUGAAAAGUCGGGUACAGUAGGCCAGCAUGUUCAGCCCAUCCUUCCAAUGAAUUUUCGGCCCUUUCAAAAAAGUUAACCCAGUUUUCCAUUCAUUUCUUCCUUUCGGCCCACUUUUCCCCCCUUCGUUGGGCCCAUCUCUUUUAAUGUUUUCAUGGCCCAUUAAAGUUUAAAAUAACAAAGAAAGACAAGAGCCCAGUCCAAAGUCAUUUCUUUCUCUUUGCUUACAUGAGCCAACGUACGUGAAGAGGAAAAGAAAAAUAGACGCGCGGGUGAGGAGAGGACGGCGACGAGCAAAGCGUGAAUACGUGCUCGUGAGCGAGGGAGGAACAACAAGCUGUGACGCAAGCAAAUCCAAGCCUUCUAGAAGGCUGAGCUGGCGGGAGGGAUGAGGAGGCCUAACCGAAAAAGAUUCGGGGAGAGGCGGGGGGAGCGUGUGUGUGUGUGUGGGCGAGGAGGCUUCCCCAAAAAGAAGAAGAGCAAGUUGCAGAGAGGGAGGAGGGGGCAGAAGUUUUUCUUUGGCUAAAGAAGAGAGGAUCGUUCUGCAGGAGAGGGCAUUAUUCGGCCUUUAGAGAAAGAAAAAGAGAGGGGGUUUUUCUUUUUUCUAGAAGCGCCGCUCUUAGUGUGGCCGCCACGAAGAACGUUGUCUCGGGUCCAGUCCAUGUUCGUCCUCAUAAGCGACGUUUCCCAAACUCUCCUCGCAUCGGCUGGCCAUUUUCUCGAGCUUUGCCAAUGAACAAGCAGUAGUUGCAAUGCCACUUUUGAUCAGGUAAGCAUCUUGCUUCCCCUAGACAUCCUAUAUUUUCUUCAUGCCAUUCAGGAGUUGAGAAUAAAAAUUUGAAUCUAUAAGAUCAUGGUUUAAUCUUGUGAAACUGAGACAUAUUUGUGAGGGACAAUGUUAUUUGGAGUUUGAUAUGUCAUUUUUAGAUCGAAAAUCAUAUCAAAAUGGUAUUGGAGGCUUGUUCUCAUACUGCAUAUAAUCUAUUUGAUAAAAUGCCUCAAUGAUAUGUUGGCCAUCGAAACGAUAUCUUAGGAUCAACAAAGCUAGAAACUUGAACAUACUAGAGGAGAAGACAAAGAUUUAUGUACCUAAUUUGGAAUCAAUUGUUCCUUAUACGAAAUAGCAACAAUUCGACGGGAGUUGUUCGCCCACUGUGGAAAGGCAUACCUGCAGAAAAUUGACUCCGUCCUUCUUGAUUCUAAGUCUAGGUCCAUUCAUGGUAUCAGAGCCAUGGUUUCAUUUGUAAUGUUAUCCAUUCCAUGUACUUGGUAGGUGAAUCUAGUGCUGAGAAGAUCUCUUCACAUCAUGUUUACAGAACCAAAAAUUCUCGAAGCACCAGUUUCUAUUGCCGCAUCUCCAUCAUCCUCAACCCUUUCGGAUUUUCUUAUUUCCAAUGCUUCUAAGAUAUAUUAUUUCUAUGAAGUCUCUCUUAGUGAUGAAACCAAGAUUUUUGAAACCCAACUUCCCCUCAUGAACCCUUACUCCGCUUUCGCCAAACCUCACUCAUCAUUCUUGCCUAUCUGCUCCAUCCACCAACUUAUUCACCAAACCCCAAAGCAAGUAAAGGAGUACGUUCAGUCCUCCAAAUUCAACCAGCACACCAUUCCUGCUACUGAAAAUGAGUAUUUUGUUAUUCUUCAGAUCCCCCUAGAGUUUUCCAGACAAUGGGCUCAACGGGGAUAUACUCAUGUUCAUUAUGGCGCUGUUCGUCUUGCUUUCACUUUCCAUGGUCGUAAAAGUUUGCCAGUUGUGGUAAGAAUUGCUUUGCUGGAUACUAGGUUUUUAUAAUACCAGCAUGCUUGCAUCGGCACUAUUCAAACCACUUUGAAUGUUGGAAUAGUCUUUGUGACUUUGUAUCCAAACUUCAACAUCUCUCUUUCAGACCCCCAGCUACUCUCUUUCUUAAAAGUCCAAGUCUAGCUCACCGGAGCCCCUCAAAUUGCUGACUCUAUAGCUGCAACACUACAUUACCAGAUGGUUUAUCGAGUGUAGAACCAUGCUCUUGAUCUAAACUUCAACAAUAGUAAUGAAGAUGUUUUAUUUAUAUCCAUGCAGAAUGAUCAGGCAUCAUGCAUCCAUGUUCCUAGACAUAUCCCAAAGGACAUGUUGGCCAAGCUCCUUCUAGAGACUUGGAUCACCAACUAUGAAAAGCUACACCAGCAUAACAAGCCUUUCUAGUCUACGGACUCUGAGUUCGUCCGAAAGAAAGAUGGAGCUGUCUCCAUCAAGUUUGGCAAGGAAAAGGAAGAAAAUCCUUCUAUCUUCCAAACUCUAUUCAUGAUUGAACCAUGUGUUCUUGAAUCAAUUUCUGAGCCAGAUUCAAAAAAGCAUGUUCAACAUUUCAAUAGUGAAGGACAUCCUGUCCAUUACUACAAGGACCAGUAUGGUAAUUGUUUUUGGGAUCCUUUUUGCCAAUGUUCCUAUUAUACAAAUUCCCCUGACGAGGUAGAUCCUUUUGCCAAACCUCCACCUCGACGGAAAAAGCCAAAGGAUAAGGUGUACCAAAGGUACUUAAACGGAGAUCUCUCCGUUGAUACUCUUGGUGAAUGUGAUAAAUACCAGUUCAUGGUUUCUUAUGUUCCACCUCCACCACUAGAAUUCGGUACUACACCCCAAGUUUCACUAGAUCCACCAAAAUCACCUCCACCAUCUCCUCCUCAGAAAAAAACAAGCUCUCUCCCCGUUUUAUAAGCCAAUCUUAAAGUGGGCCAAGAAGCACUCUACUCGCUUGAAGCUCCAGCAGAAACACCACCAACCUCUUCCAUUGCCAUGUUCCAUGAGACUGACUUUCCCCCUCUAGUUAGAGAAAGUUCUAAACUCUCGUUUCCUGCUCCAGAAGAAUUCAUAGAUCCAUAAGGCAAAUACCACCAUGUCCUUAAGAUAACUGCCCCCACUGAUGUGGAUGAACAUGGGAGAUAGAGAAGAACUCAUGCUGUUGAAGCCGUUUUGAAUUGGCAAUCAGAGACUCUUUUAGCACAAAAUAAUGCGUUCAAAGCAAUUGAUUCCAAGAUUGGAAAUGUGCAACAAGAUCUUUGAAAGUAUGAUGAAACUACCAAGAAGAUGCUUUCCGAAUUCCAAAAGAGGCUUCAUGCCUUGGAAUCAGGACAACAUCUUAGGUACCAUUAUCUUAAGAGCCCAAAGUCGGAAAUAGAAAAGCUCAAAAGACAAAUCCAACUCCUUGAAGAAGGAAGAUUUGAUCCUUUCAAUCCAUUUCCAACCACUGCAAGAACAAGGUAUUCACCUCCAUUACCCCAGACGUCAAUUUUUGUUGCCAUUCCAGAAGACCCUUUAGACAGAAGGAAACAGGUGUAGCAGAAAUGUGAAACCGUCUCAAAGAAAUAAACCAGGUACGGAAGGAAAGAGGUAAAGAAAAGGAAGACAUUCAUUCACCUUCAAUUGUUAUAAGGGAAAAACCAGAGUAGAUGAUGCUAUCCAAUCCACUAGAAUCUUUUUUAAAGGAUUUAGGCAAUCAGGAAUAACCUGAUUCUGCCACCCCAAAUGAUCAGAUUCUAUUCCCUGCAGAACAAACUCUUCCUAAUAUCUUUGAUACUGAAUUAGAUACGGUAUCCAUUUCUUCCUCUUCAUCCUUCUCCAUCCCUAUCAUCGAUUCCCCUUCUAUUGCUCCAGUAACAUCAUCAAUAUUCAUCGCCGAUCUGCCAUAUCAGGAUAUGGAAUCAAAUUCGUAUGAACCAGAAAUUGUUCAAAUCAGUAAUUCUGGACAAAAUGUGUCCACAUCAUCAAAACAGCUUUUCACCCUUGCUGAUAUUCCUUAUUACAAAUGGCCAGAAAAACUUGAAGAAUUUCAUACUUGGUUGAACACUAAGGCUAUUACCAACCAUGAUAUGAAUGAUGUUCUCUUCAACUUUGUCAUAAGAUUUAUAGGUAGCCUCAAACUUUGGUGGAAAUCUGUGCCAGAACAAGACCAGAUUCAUUUCCUGUGUUCACCCGAUUUCAGUCAUGCCAUUACUCUUCUAUAUCAUUUCUUUGUAGGAAAACCCGCUGAUCUCCAAGAGCUGAAAAGGAGAGAAUACUUCGAGAGAAAAUGUUGCUCUCUCCAGAAAAAACAUCUUGAUAAGCAUUAUUGAGAAAUGUUUAAGCUCUUUUAUAGUAUUGGAGCUGAUCCACACCUCAAGCAUGUCUUCUUGACAUCCAUCCUCAAAGAAUUAUCCCAAAUGGUCAAAAAAGCCUUUCUCAAUAGGCAAAGAAGAAUACAGGAUAUUCCAUUAGGAGAAAUCCAGCAAGAAAUCCAUUUAUGCGUUGAAGAAUUGUGUUUAAAUGACAUAUGGUCCGGACUUACAUCACAGAUGAUAGAGAACUUGAAACAAUUUGUUCUCGCCAAAAGUUAAAGAUCAAAUGCUCCAAACGAGACUGCGAUGGUACUUGUGGAAAAGCUUCCCGGAAAAAGAAGCACUUCAAGAAGUUCUGGAUAAAGAAAUUCAAACAUGGCCACAAGAACUUCCGAAGAAAGAAGAAAUGGCGAUGCCUACGCAAAAGGAAACAUCGCACAUGCUAUAAAAAAUAAAAUCGCUGCUUCAUCUGCAAUCAGAAAGGACAUUUUGCCAAAAACUGUCCCCGAGCUAGAAAAGGUCAGCAUCAUUUGAUACAUCCAAUUGAAAAUGAAAAGGUAUUUCUCUUGAAAAUGAUGAUAUCGAAUCAUUAUUCUCUGCUGAUGAAGAACUAUCUGAAUAAACUCUUUGUGUCAUUCCAUGUUAUCACACUUCCAGUGAAAUUGAAUCAGAUUCAGAGUCUCAGAACUAUUGCAACAAGGUCUUAUUGAAAUCUCCAAUUCUCAAUGGGCUUGCGAAGCCUUCUAUGUCAACAAACGUACUGAGCAGAAUAGAGGAAAAAUGAGACUGGUAAUCAAUUACCGGCCCCUUAACCUUUUUCUUCAAGACGAUAAAUCCCCUCUACCAUCCAGAAAUUCCCUUUUUACUAAGCUAUCCAAGGCCCACAUUUAUUCCAAAUUCAACCUUAAAGCCGAAUUUUGGCAAUUGAGCAUUCAUUUUGAAGACAAACCCAAAACAGGAUUUUGUAUUCCAAACCAGCACUUCCAAUGGAAAGUUCUCCAUUUUGGCCUAAAAGUAGCACCAUCCCUUUUCCAAAAGGACAUGUGUAGAAUUUUCCAAACAAUCCUGUCAAGUGCAGCCGUAUACAUUGACGAUAUCUUGCUCUACAGCCUUGAUGAGCAGUCGCAUUGCCAACUUCUUGAGCAGUUCAUAGAAAUCGUGAAGAAGCAUGGCAUCAUGCUUUCUCAAAGAAAGAUGAAUAUUGUUCAGACAGAGAUUGAAUUCUUUGGUAUGCACCUCAACAAAGGAACAUACUAUCCAUGGCCAUAUAUUGCCCAGGAAUUAUUGAAAUUUCCUAAAGAUAAUUUCACUACAAAACAAGUUUAACAAUUUCUUGGGAUAAUCAAUUAUCUUAGGGAUUUUGUCCUAAACAUUGCAAAGCUCCUGAUUCCUUUGCAAUCUAUGCUGAAAAAGAAUCCCCCACCUUGGGGAAAAACUCAGACUAAAGCAGUAGCUGAGCUUAAGGAGAUAUUGCAGAAUCUCCCACCAUUACAAAUACCAUCAACAUGAAAGAGAAUUCUUUAAACUGACGCUGGUGAUGAAUACUGGGCAGCCAUCCUGCUUGAAGAAAUUGAUGGUAAGAGACACCUCUGUGCCUAUAAGAGUGGAAAGUUUUCUUAAGUUGAAAUGCAUUACCAUUCUACUUUUAAAGAAAUCUUGGCGGUGAAAAAUGAAAUAAAGAUGUUUGAAUUUCAUCUCAUCGACCAUCACUUCCUGGUAGAAUUAGACAUGGCAUCUUUUCCUCAGAUGACCAAGUUUAAACAGAAGCAGAUUCCAAAUUCUCAACUGCUUCGAUGGGCUAAAUGAUUUUCAAAAUACUAUUUUGAAACCAAACAUAUUCCUGGAAAGAAGAACAUGCUUGCUGACUUCUUGUCAAGACCAAAAGCACCAGUCGAAAUCAACAUGUACAUCAAGAGGUCUACUUUCCAUGUACUCAACCAUGGAGUAAAAUACAAGAUUGAGAAGAUCAAAGAUUUGCCAAGCUGGAAAUAUCUCUAGGAGAUUGUAGAACAGAUUCAGAAUGAUAACCUCACUGAAAACCUGGAAAACCUCAUGUGGCGAUGCCACACAGAUCUAUUCAGAUUUAAUGGAGGUUCGAUUCUUUAUCCUUUUGGACUAAAUUUGAAUUAUCCAUUCAUACAUCCUCUUAUCUGGAAGGAGGAUGAUUUUCCCGAUCAGCUCAAGACGUUAUUAUGGUACUUAACCAACAAGUAUUUAAUAGCUACUGAAAUUCCAACCAGGAGAUUCAUUGCUAACCUCACCAGGAUAUUCUCACUCGGAAGAAACAUCGAAAAAGAAGGCGACAAAAAUCUCUUAGACUUUCUCAAUUCGUUUUAUCCUCUUACUCACUAGAAAUAUCUUUUAGAGAAAGAACUAAGAACCAUGACACCAAAUCUUGAAGUCCACACUAUCUUAUUUUUCCGACAUCCAUGGCAUUUUUUCAGAAAUAAUGGCAACAUUAUCAAUGCCCCACGAGAUAUAGGAACCACAUCCUAUAAACCCCACUUAGACAGCAGAAAAGCUCGAAUUCACAAAUCUUAUCCAGGACCUGUUAGAUGUUGUGAACACCAGUACCGAGAACUCCAGAGAAUUUUGUGCCAGGAGACCUAACACCAGAAGUUAAGGAAGCAAUCAGGCAAUGUAGACAAGCUGCAUCAUCCCAAGAUCAUGAAAUGACAGGUGCAUAUGACAUUGUCAAAUUUACUCAAGACCCCUAUGCACGUUGAGGAGGUCCUUUUUUCCAAGAUCCCUAUGAUCUAGGACUUUCGUCCUUAUCUCAAAAUAUGGACACAUCCUUCUAUGCACAGCUGUCCAAUUGGCAUCAGCCAACUAUUCCUGCCGACACUACAGAAGAUGACAAUACAAAUUGGGCUCAAGAAGAAGCAUCCCACUAGGCUCAUAAACAAGCAUCCUCAUCACAUUAACUAAAUUAGAUCCUCUCACUAGAAGACCUUGAAGCUCUUGAACACAAAUAUGAGGAACAUCUUCUAGCAACAACACACAGCUCAGAUGACUCAGACUAUGACUACAAUGCUCGUGACAGAUGGGAUCGCUGAUCAGAUCCACUAUCUGUACAAAUUCACUGUAGCAAACUACUGUUAACUUUUAAUGUAGCACUAGGCUAGGAAAAGUACUGUUCACAGUACAGUCACUGUUCAUAUUGUGUGAAUAAUUCACUCCCGGAAGUUUCUGGUGCCUUUGUUUGUAUCUGGAUCCAUGAGCUUGGUCCUUGUGUGUUUGUAACCUCUUAUUGUCUAUAUAAGGCAAGGAGGAUGUCAUGUGUUGGGUAGAGUCCCUCGAAGUAAAGUGAGUACUUUGUGAAAAACCUCUAUAUGGCUUUCUAAACCCCUCUUCUUCUCCAGCCUGGUAGGAUCCUCCGAAAUGCAACUCAUAUAGGUUAGAAACAUUUCCAUCCUAGCAUCUCUGAGUGUCUCUAGGCUCUGAACUAAAGGGUUGAGUGGUUUUCUACUAAAAGGCUAACCCUGAAGGGCUUGAACGAGAGUUGUUCGCCCACUGUGGGAAGGCAUACUUGCAGAAAAUUGACUUCGUCCUCCCUGGUUCUAAGUCUAGGUCCAUUCAGGUUCUGUUGGACGCAAAUUACGCAACCCCAAGAUCUCCAUAACUAGAACAAGAACAUACAUAAUUGAGUAGAAAGAUUAACGCACCUGUUUUAGGAUCCAUUGUUCUUGAAGCAGAAACUAGAACAAGAACAUACAUAAUUGAGUAGAAAGAUUAACACACCUAUUUUAGCAUCCAUUGUUCUUGAAGCGGAAGCAGAAACACAAUGUUUCACGCGCAAGUCCUUCUCCUCUAUUGCCCUCCGUAUCACUAGCUCAAUGAGGCGGCCCCCCUCACGUUUAGCGUUAGGUAAACGCUCCUUAGGUGAUAAUACAUGUGAAAAUUAGGGUUAGAGAAGAGACUUGAGUACUAUUUAUAGAGUUUCCAACCAGUCCCCCUCAUUACGAGCCAGGCUCAACUCGGCCCACACUAGCUAGUCCCAUAUUAGACUAAUUAAGAAACCUUCUAUCUCACCUUAGACCAACCAUGUUGUACGGUAACUGUAAAAUAGUAAAUUACAAUAUCAAUUAAUGUAGUCAAUAUUAGGAAAACUCUUACAUUCUCCCACUUGAACUAUAUUAAUUGAAAUUGUACCGCAUAUGAACACAUUUGGUCCAGAGAUAAUUCUUAAUAGUCAAUCCUAUCUCAUAAAGUCUUAAAUACCGAAUCAUGACGGUAACUGCAUGUAUACACCCAAAGCUUUCUAUGGUCACGAGUGCUCUCAACUUUAUUGAUAUGGAUUCGAUAUGGUAGUGUGGCAAAUGGAUAACAUCUCUCAUAGAGAGAUUCCAUUUGUCAGUCACCAUUCUCUUACUGUAGGCGACAAAAAAAGAAAAAGAAACUUAUGCCACUAGAGAAUGUCUUUAUGGUUCCAAUGAACCCAUAUAUGUUUUGUCCUUACGGUUAUACUUUCUUUAUGUAUCACAAGACAUAUGCACAAGGCUAAUAAUCGGAUACCCCUAGCAUUCACUUAAGACUUUAUUAAUAUGUAUUCAACAUAAUAACAACACAUUUAAAAAUAUUUUAUUGAAUGCAAAAGUUGAUACAUAUCAAAACGUUACAAAAUGUAACAAACACAGAUGAAACAUUUGUCAGAGUAAAGCCAAAAUAGCUCCCACUAAACAACAGCAUCUCAUGAUGCUUCUAAGCCCAUACUAAUGACAUGUCGCUCAAAUACACAUGCGCGUAGGCCUUUAGUUAGUGGAUCUAUCAUCACAUCAUCUGUGGAAUAUGCCAUAUUAUAACAUCACAUUCUUGUACCGUUUUCUUUUUUGGUCAAAAAUUUUGACCGUCAUAUAUUUAGACCCAUUGAGACAUCUGUAGUAAAUAAAUAAUACUACAAAUUUGUUAUCUCAAUACAACCGUAUGAGUCUAUUCAUAAAGUUAAAAACGGUCAAUUCCUUAAUGAGGUUUUGGAGCCUAUUAGCCCAAGUAAUAGCCUAAAAGAAUGUUACAAACUCUACUUACAUAGUAGACACAGAACUUUAAAGUUUACAUUUGAAUACCCUACUAGCUGCAAGAAUUGAACAUAUCUGUAAUUUAACAUGUAAUCUAUUGUCGUCUUUAAGUACCUUAAAACCUUCUUGACAGCAACCUAGUGAUCGCAUCCUAGAUUUGAUUGAUUUCUGCCUAGAAGUUCCGUCGCAAAGACGAUUUUUAGUCUAGUGCAAAUUUAAGCAUACAUUAUAUUUUUAAAUGCACUGACACAAGGUACACUAUUUAAUUAGAUUUUAUCAAUAUCUAAAUAAGGACAAUGUGAUAGAUUCAAUCCAUCACCCUUAACAACAUGAGCAAUUCCUGGCUUGCAAUGAUGUAUAUUGUAUAUUUUCAAAGUACAAUUAGCAAAUGUCCUCUGAGAAAAUCUAAUAUAAUAUAACAAAAACAAUCCUUAUGGACCUCAGUACAAAUGAUAAAAGAUGACAUGCCUCAAGGUCACUAUUAGUAAGCAAAAUAUUACGUAUGUAAAGUAUGAGAAAAAUAAAUUUCCUCCCACUAACCUUGCAGUAUAUAUUAAAUUACUUUGUUCUCAAUUGAAAAAAAUAACAACACUAUGAAACUUUAAUAAUAUUGUUUGGAAACUUGAUUAAAAUCAUGAAUAAGACUUUUCGUCUACACACAAGUUUAUUUGAAUCUGCGCAAAAUCCUCUAGUUGCACUAUAUAGAUUUUGUAUUUAUUUGACGUAACUCCAUAUCAAAAAUGAACUAUUAAUACCACGUUCACUCUGAAAUAAUCUUUAAAAAUACUAUAAAGAAAUAAUUAUUUCUUCACUAUAAAUUAUCCACCCCAUUUUCAGAGUGAAAACUUUAGCUACAAGUUUAAUUUUAAACUCCACAAUCUUGCUUUGAAAUCCUUUUAAUUUUGUACACCAAUUUGCAACUAAUGAACUUGUGAUCUUUAGGCAAGUCAGUAAGUUUCCAAACAUUAUGAUGUUUCAUAGAUUGUAUAUUGCAUUUUAUGGCAUCUAAUCACAUACUUGAUUAAAGAUAAGAAACGACAUUUAUUUACGUCGCUAAAUCAACCUCGUAGUGCAUAUUGUAGUCAUACUAUCACAAAUAGACUAUAUAGUCUAAUGGAAUAACUGAUCAUCUUUUCUUAAUAAAUCUCCUAAGUAAAGCUACAUUCACUUCAUUUUAUACUUGAGAUAUUUGAAAAAAUUUCAUCAUAACUAUAUCAAGAAUAGUAUCUUAAACCUCAACAAGUUUAGUUUAUGGUAUAGGAAAUUUCACAAUUGUCUGUACCACAUUUAUCUGUAUAGGCAAAAACAAAGACACAGUGAUCUUCCAUCGCACUAUUAUUUCUAAUAGUCUGAAAGCAACUAUCCUCUACAAUUACGUCAAACUGUAGAAACUUUAUAGUAUGUAAUUCCAUAAUUCUUAUACCUUCUUUAGGGUCAUAAAAUUAAUACCCCUUUGAACAAUCUGAGUAAGAUACAAAACAAUUCCAAGUGGAUCUAAAUUCCAACCUACUUAAUAUUGAAUUAGAUAACCUCACGUUUGCAUGACACCUCUAAAUUUAAUAUGAUUCAAGUAAUUUAUGUCCAGUCUAUAACUCAAAAGAAGUUUAUGAAAUAACUUUGAUAAGAAAAACCUUUUAUAUGUGAAAAUAUUGCUUUUAAAAUAUCAACUCACAAAAGACCGGAUAAAUUAGUCUUACUAAUCAUACUCAUUACCAUGUUCAAUAUGAUGCAUUUAUACUUUUUAGCCAAAUCUUUUUGUAAGGAUUUUGGGCAUAAUAAUUAAUUUACCAUCCUAGAAUUUACCAAGUAUUUGACAAAUGACCCUUUAAGUUAUUUCGCAUUGUCAUACUUGCCAAAAUACUCACGGCCACUGUUAAGCCUGACAACCUUUUAAUACUAAUUGUAAUUGUUUUAUUCUUUAUCUCGAUAAUUUUACUUCCACAAUAAUCUAUAGAAGUCUUUAAAUAACCAUUAAGAGUAGACAGAAUAUCAACAUUGUCAACUUUUCUACUCUUUCUUUAGACAUGUGUGAGAUUAUUCUUUAAAUAGAAAAUUUUUGGAAAUAACCUCUUCAACCAUAUACGAGAUGUAUAUGCUAUUAGAACUUAAACAGAAUAUUUACAGAUGUGUUCUAAUUUCGGUAUUAAAUAAAAUAUAACUUCAAGCCAUUAAAGCUUUCAUCAUCUUUUAACAGUGCAGUCAGUAGACAAGCCACUUUUCAAGUGUUCCUGAAUGGAACGCUUCAUGGACAGUAAGGAAAUUCUAUUACUCUUUUCCCAAGCAGCAAAUCAUAUGUCCACUACUUAAAAUUUGAAGUAGUAAAAAUCUUAAUAAUAGUAGAGUUAUUAAUUACAGAAAAUGUGACUGAAAAACAAGUAAUGUAUAUAAUUAACAUUAUGUGAGCACUGUGUAACUCGACGAAUAAGUACACAUCUAGAGAGUUACAUGCAUAAUCAUAUAAUUACAUUUGGGCAAAAUACAUGACAUGCAGUUGUAGACUCCCCACAUGAUAGCGGUUUUGAGAAUAUAUUCUAAUCUUUGUGAAUUCAUCACCUUUGGACAUAUAAACCACUAGGAUCAAUCACUCCUCCAUCACACCAUCAUGCAUCCCUCCAUGAACUAAUACACAAUCACCUUAUUUGGGAGUAUGACUAUGCAUUAGAUCAGGAGACAUCCUAAUCAAUAUAUGAGUUUGAAAUUUCUCAAACUCAAUCAAGUGUGCCACUUUAGCGGUCACAACUCAAUUGAAUCAUUAAAACUCUCUCAUACUAGGGAUAUAAUAUUUACAUCUCACAUACACCAUAUACAUGUGAUUUUAACUUUAGUGAUGAGGCAACAUAUCAUUGAAAUCACAUAUCAUGCUAAUUACACUACCUUAUUCAUUAAUAAAAAUUAAUCAUAUAUAUAUACAUAGUGAACUUGAAAGACAGAUUCCAGUGAGAUAACCGAUCACAGCAACACAAGAAACUUCUCAUAAUAAAUAAGAAAGCAUCUCUUAUGCACCCCGAUUACAGAUUACCAGAACAAUAUAAAAGGAAUGCUGAUCUAAAAGAUCUCUGACAAAUUAAUAUCAAUAGUAAUAUAAGAUACACCAAAUCGACAAGCCUAACAGCUGAUCCAUCAUCACUCAUGAGUUUCAUAAGGCAAAAAAUGACUUCAAGGCCAACAAUUGAUUUAUUAGCCAUUUUAAGUAACAAAUUAUAAUUGUAAUCAAUUAAUAGCCUAUUAAUUGAGUCAAACCAGAUAACCAAAUAUCUAAAUUUUAACAGUAGAUACUAUUGCUCUGUGUAAAUGUUGUCAUACUCCUUAACUAUAAAAAAUAUUCAACUUAAUGGACCUUAACCAGUGACCAAAUGAGUUUAGGUACAAUAUGCAAUAACUUAACUGAUAUGCAUUACCCACAUUCAGUAGAUGUGUUAAUUAGUACAAUCAGUUUGGUUACAGGUUUUUAAGACGUCCAUUAUUCAAAGGUUACCAGCAUGAAAAGGAGUAUACAUGAGCAACAAAAGUUUCAUAACCUUUUACUAUUUCUCAUUACCUAAAUACAUAGUUCAAUUACUAUCCCAUAAUGGUUGUAUCUCAUUAAGCCAGUUUCAGUUCACAAUAAAGUUUAAUUUUUAUUAAUGAAUCACACCAUUAUAAUGUUUAUGUGAUAACAUACCUAUAACCCAACAUCUGUAUUUCCAAAAUCACAGAAAAUACAAGAAAAAUACGAAAAAAUACACUAAAAAUACACGUAUUUAGGGCUUUGUAUGUAUUUUCACAUCCACAAAAUCAUAAAACAUAUAAAAUAAAUACACCACAAGAUAGAGCAUGGAAAUAAGAAUCCAACGCCACCAACCACGCACCAAACGGAGACUCCACGCACGCGCACGCACUGCCGAAGUGCGCGGCGCAUGGAGCUCACGUGCUAGCGUCAAGAGACUGGUCAAAACCAGUUCGACCAGUUCCAACUUGACCGUCCGGUCCAGCCGCCUGGUCCGAUUGGUUGACCGAUCCGGUCAACAGUUGACCCGGUUGGGGUCGGUUAACGGGUUGGGUCGGGUCCUUGGGUCGGCCGCGAAUCGGAUUGGGUCUGGGUUGCUGACGUCAUCGUGACGUCAUCACCUGUGUGCUUUGCACACGCGAGCUGCGUGCCCGUGCGUGGGAGCGCAUGGGGGCAUGUGACCAUGCGUGGGGCGCGUGCUCAACACCUAGGCGGCGCGUGGCCGCGUGUGAGGCCUCCCCCGAUGACACGCCGCCCACGGUUUUGCUCGUCUCGUCGAGGCCAGUCCGAAUUUGUGAUUUAAUUUUAUUUUUAUUGAACAAAAAAUCACGAAAAUCACGAAAAUCACAAAUUAGGGUAAAAGUCUUAUGCGUUCGAGUUCUAGAGUUAUGGUUGCUAUGAUACCAUAUGUUGGAUGCAAAUUAUGCAACCUUAAGAUCUACAUAACUAGAAUAAGAACAUACAUAAUUGAGUAGAAAGAUUAAUGCACAUAUUUUAUAAUCCAUUGUUCUUGAAAUGGAAGCAGAAAUACAAUGUUCCACACACAAGUCAUUCUCCUCUUUUACCCUCAGUAUCACUGGCUCAAUGAGGCCCCCCUCAUGUUUAGCAUUAGAUAAACGCUCCUUAGGUGAUGAUACAUGUGAGAAUUAGGGUUAGAGAAAAGACUUGAGCACUAUUUAUAGAGUUUCCAGCCAGUCCCCCUCAUUAUGGGCCAAGCUCAACUCGGCCCAAACUAGCUAGUCCCAUAUUAGACUAAUUAAGAAACCUUCUAUCUCACCUUAGACCAACCCUGUUUUACGGUAACCGUAAAAAUAGUAAAUUACAAUAUCAAUUAAUGUAGUCAACAUUAGGAAAACUCUUACAGGUUUUUCUCUUCUAUAGCCCUCGGAUCCUAGCUCGAUGAGACCGCCCCUCACGUAUCCUUAUGUAAGGUGAUAGUGUGUUCGUGGAAGUAUGAGGAUUAGAAGAGGGACUUUAGCGCUAUUUAUAGAGUUUUUAAUUAGGCUCUCUCAUCACGGGCCGAGUUGAGCCCAACUCGGCCCACAUAAGCUAGGCUCAUAUUUGACUAUUAAGAAACCUUAUACCCUACUUUAUUAGGCCAAUCUCGUAAAAUGGUAAAUCACAAUCUCAAUUAAUGUAGCCCACAUUAGGAAAACUCUUACAUUCUCCCACUUGGACUAUAUUAAUUGAGAUUGUACUGUAUGUGUGCACAUUUAUAUUGGUCUAGAGACAAUUCUUAAUAGUCAACCAUAUCUCAUAAAAUCUCAAAUACCGAGUCAUACGAUAACUACAUGUACACACAUAGAACCUUCCAUGGUUACAAUUGCUUUCAACUUUAUUGAUAUUGAUUCAAUAUGCUUGUGUGGCAAAUGGAUAAUACCUUAUGAGGAGUAAACCUUAUGAGUCAUCCUCUUUGUCGAUCAAUAUUCUCUCACCUUAAGUGUCACAAAAAACCGUAUGUGCCACUAGAGAAUAUCUUUAUGGUUAUGAUGAACCCACAUAUGUUUUAUCUUUAUAAUUAAUCUUUAUUUAUGUGUAAACAAGACAUAUGCUCAAGGCUGAUAACCGGAUGCAUUCGGCUUUCACUCAAGACUUACACAAUACCUUGAGAUUUUCAUUACAUGUAAUCAACUUAACAUGAUGACAACACGUUCAUGGACACUUUAUUGAAUGUGAAAGAGUCUAUACAAGUUAAAAUGUUAUUGAAUAUAAAAAAACACAGAUGUAAGCUUUAUUAGAGCAAAAUCAAAACAACUCCCACUAAACAGCACCAUCCAAUGAUACUUCUUAGCCUAUAUUUAUGACAUAUUGCUCGAGUACACAAGGGCAAAGAUCUUUAGUUAGUUGGUAUGCAACCAUAUUAUCUAUAGAAAUAUGCCCUACUAUAACAUCACCAUUUUAUAUCUUUUUUUAUGGUUAAAAACUUGACUGCCAUAUGUCUAAACCCCUCGAGACAUUUAUUGUUGUUGAUAAACAACAUUAAAGAAUAGUUGUCUCGAUACAACUAUAUAGGUCUAUUCACAAAAUCAAAUAUGAUCAACUCCUUAAUGAGGUUCCAAAGUCAAGUAUCCCGAAUAACAGUUGAAAAGCAUGGUACCAACUCCGUUUACAUAAUAGAGGAUGAUAUAGAUUUAUGUUUUUCACUUUGUCAUAAUAUUGCACAUUCUGCUAAUAUAAAGAUAUAUUAUGUUGUUUACUUCUUGUCAUCCUGACAAUCAGCAAAGUCUGCAUUCGAAUAUCCUACUAGCUCCAGGUCAUGAACAUGUCUAUAAAUUAUCAUAUAAUCGAUUAUCCUUUUAAGUACCUCAAAACCUUAUUGGCAGCAAUUCAGUGAUCAUGUCCUAAAUUUGACUGAUAUUAACCCAGAAGUUUGUUGCGAACUUGAGCAUACAUGAUACUUCCAAGUGCACUAGCAUAAGAUACAUCAUUCAUUUGGGUUUUUCCAAAAUCUGAAUGAGGACAUUGCAAUAGACUCACUUUAUUACCCUUAAUAACAUGAGUAAUUCCUAACUUGCAAUGUUGCAUACUGAAUCUUUUCAUAAUAUGAUUAACAUAUGCAAUAUGAUAUAAAUCUAACAUAUAGCGAGAACAAUCCAUAUAGAUCUCAAUGCCGAGGACAAAAAAUGCCUCUUCAAGGUCUUCCAAGUCAAAAUUAUUUGAUAGCAUCUAUUUUGUCUCAUGUAGUAAUCCAAUAUCGCUACUUGCAAGUAAGAUGUCGUCCACAUAAAGUAUGAAAAAAAUAAAUUUCCUCCCACUGAUCUUGCAGUAUAUGUACUGAUCUACUUUGUUCUCGAAAAAACCAAAAUAAGUGAUGAUAUUGUGAGACUUCAAAUAAUUCAACAAGUUCCCAAAUAUUAUUAUGUUUCAUCGCAUCUAACCAUAGAUCUGAUUAAGGACAAAAACCAACAUUUAUAUAUGUCACUAGAUCGACCACGCAAUAGAUAUUGUGAUCAUGCUCUCGUAGAUAGACUAUACAGUCUAGUGGUAUAAUUGAUUGUCUCUCCAUAAUAAAUCUCCCAAGUAAAGCUACAAUCACUUCAUUCUUUACCUAAAGGGCUUGACAAACUUCAUUAUGAAUUGUAUCAAUAACAAUAUCCUGAACCUCAACAAGUUUAAUAUGUGGUGUAAGAGACUCCACAAUCAUCUGUAUAGGCAAAGAAAACGACACAAUGGUCUAUAUUUUGAAUAGUUUGAGAGCAGCUAUCAUCUACAACUACGUCGAACUCUAAAAAUUUCGCUGUCUGUGAUUCCACAAUUCUUGCACCUCAUCAAAACCACCAUACCUCAUGUUAAAGAAUCUUUAUAUUUAUCAUAAUCUCAGCAUUAAACAAGACACAAUUUCAGACCAUCAACGCUUCCAUCAUCCUUUUAGCAGUGUAGUUAGAUGGUAAACCAUUUUCAAAUGUUCCUAAAUGGAACACUUCAUGGAUAACGAGCAUAUUUAAUUGCUCUUUUUCCCAAGCUGCAAAUAUGCUUUCUAGUUCCACAUCGCUGACAAUGAAAUUGCCAACUUAUUAUCAAUAAGAACAAUAUGAACAUUUACCAACUCCAUCUUAAAUAGAAAAUCAUCUUUCACUACUUAAAGUUUGGCCAAACAAGAAUCUCAAUCACAAUGGAGUUUCCAUUUAUAGAGAAUAUGACUUAAUAAUAAGCAAUUUAAAUAAUUGUCAUCAUGUGAGUAUUGUGUAACUUUAAAACCGUAUAAGUACACAUCCUAAGAGCUAUAUGCAUCAUUAUAUAAAUACCUUCGAGUAGAAUACAUGACAUGCAGCUGUAUACUCUCCACAUAACAGUGAUCAUGAGAAUUUAUUCUAACCUUUUGUGAAUUCACCACAUUUUGGUGUAUGAACCAUUCUAGGCUUAAAAUGAGUGAACAUCUUUUCAUCAUCAUUUCCAUCAGGUUGACUAAGUCCUCAAACACGUGGAUCACUUGGGAUAUUCGCAAAAGCCCUUUCUGUCAAGCCCGCAGGAGCAAUUCCCAAAUGUUCCAUCAUUCUUAAAAAAAUAGGUUUCAUUUCAGUACCCAUUUUCUUUCAUAAAUUCAUCUAUAAAGGUCAAUGGAGAACCUCCAUCCUUCAAGGCAGAGUAGAGUUUGAAGGUAAAAGCAAGCUUAAGAGUCCUUACGGGUUUGGCAUCCUCAAUAAUUUCUUCCUCCGCUUGUUGUUGCUGAACAUUUUGUGGUCUAGCCUGAGGAGAAUGGCGCGGUUGAGAAUGUUGUGGACUCUGCUGUUGUCUUGGAGAUUCUUCUUCCUCGGUCAGGUCAAAAUGCAUAGGACCCUCACGCAUAUGUUGUGAUCCCCUGCUUGCAAUCCUUGAGGACUUUCUUUAAGAAGACAUUAUCACAGUCUUUGAGAGAGUUUUUGGACUCGAUUCAUGAGAAAUAUGAAAAAUUUAAGAAUUAAACUAGAGAGAAAAAGUAAGAAAGUGAAGUUCUUUGCUUCCAGGAUUCGUGAAGAAGACGAUCAGUAUAUAAGGCAAUCGAAAUGGGGUAUACGGAUCGUCGUAAAAGGAAACAUAGAAAAUGCAUUUUCAAAAAAUAACUGCCUUUUUGAAAAUAGAUAACUGUCAUUUCAAAAUGAUAACUUCUUUUUCAAAAAUGAAUGAUUGCUAUAAUUACAAAAACUCGGAAAGAUAACAUCAAUCAAUUGUAGAUUAAUAAAUAAUCGUACUUUUUCGAGUUUUUUAUCCAAAUGAUGAAUUUGAAACAACUUACCGUUGUAAUUCUUGAUCUUCUGAGUCUGAGCUUAUUUAGGUUUUUAUCCCUGAGUAUGAGCUUCUUCAGACUUUAAGAUAUUAAGUGUGGAUCGAAUAGACUAAAAUUGACUUUUCUCCAGUGGCUUCAUAAAAAUGUCCGCUAGCUGAUUAUUUGAGUCAAUGAAUUAAAUCAAUACUUCUCCAUUUUAAACAUGAUCUCUAAUAAAAUGAUGUUGAAUCUCUAUAUGCUUUGCUCUUGAAUGAAGAAUUGGAUUCUUUGUGAGAUUAUUGCGCUGGUGUUGUCACAUUUGAUCUCAGUGCAUGAGUCUUCGAUUCCAAAGUCUCUUAGUUGUUGUUUUAUCCAUAAGAUUUGAGAACAACAACUUCUAAGAGCCACAUACUCUGCUUCUAUUAUUGAAAGAGCUACAAUACUUUGCUUCCUUGAAAACCAAGAUACUGUCAUGUUACCAAGUAAUUGACAAGUACCCGAGGUGCUCUUUCUAUCAACUCUACAUCCUGCUAGAUUUGCGUAUGAGUACCAAGGAGAGUAAAGUCUCCUUCUUUAGGAUACCAUAGACUUAACUUAGAGGUUGUUGCAAUGUAUUUGAUGAUGCGUUUCGCAGAACUUCGAUGAGAUUCUUUGGGAUCUGAUUGAAAUUUGGCACAAAUGCAAACACGCAGUAAGAUAAAGAAGUGAACCGAUGAUACUCCUAUACAACUUUUGGUCAACUUUCUUUCCUCCUUCAUCUUUGUACAGCUUCGAAGAACUUGACAUUGGUAUAUCAGUCUUUUUGCAAUUCUCCAAACCGAACUUUUUAACAAGUUCUUUAGCAUAUUUUUCUUGGUGAAUAAAAGUCCCUUCAUUCAAUUGUUUUACUUGUAGUCCGAGAAAGAAGGAUAGUUCACCCAUCAUGCUCAUCUCGAAUUCAUCCUGCAUAGACUUAGAUAAUUUCUUGCACAUAUUUUCGUUAGGUGAUCCAAAAAUAAUAUCAUCAACAUAGAUUUGAAUAAGUAGAAAGUUUUUAUUUUCUCUUUUAAUAAACAGAGUAGUGUCUACUUUACCUUUAACAAAGUCAUUUUGGAUUAAAAACUUACUUAACCUGUCCUACCAAGCUCAAUGUGCUUGCUUUAAACCAUAUAACGCCUUUUUCAAUCUGAAUACAGAGUCUGGUUUUCUUGGAUCUUCGAAACCGGGAGGUUGUUCCACAUAUACUUCCUCUUGGAUAAAUCCAUUUAUGAAUGCACUUUUGACGUCCAUUUGGAAUAACUUGAAAUUCUUAUAACAAGUAAAAGCAAGUAAUAAUCUAAUCGCUUCUAACCUUGUUACUGGUGUGUAAGUCUUAUCAUAGUCUAUCUCUUCUUCUUGCGUAUAUCCUUUGGCUACGAGUCUUGCUUUGUUCCUUAUAACUUUUCCUUUCUCGUCCAUCUUGUUCCUAAAAACCCAUUUAGCUCCAAUAACAGACUUACAUUUUGGUUUAGGAGUCAAUUCCCAGACAUCAUUAAUACUGAACUGCCUGAGUUCUUCUUGCAUAGCUUCAAUCCAGCUUUCAUCAGUUAAAGCUUCUUCAAUGCUCUUGGGUUCUAUUUCAGAAAUAAGAGCCACGGCACUAGACUCUUCAUGCCUUUUGGAUCUUGUACAAAUUCCCUCAUUAAUGUCACCAAUAAUGAGUUCUUGAGGAUGACUAGACUUGUGCUUCCAGUUGCUGGUUGAUUUGUUAAAUUGUUGAUCAUUUUCCUCAUUUGAUUCUUCAACGAUCAUUUGUUGCUGGUCUUCUGAAGUCUGAGCUGGUUUUAGGGAUUUAGACUUUGUAGAGUCUGGAGUAGGUUCAGAUUCUUCAGGUUAAGUCUAGAUCGAUUGAUUUUAUAUAAGGUCUUGAAAUUUGACAUUCAUCAAUUCUUCCACAGAUUGAGUCUUUUUGUUGUAUACUAUGUAAGCUUUGCUGGUAGUUGAAUAUCCAAGGAAGAUGCCUUCGUAUGAUUUUUCUUCAAAUUUACCAAUUCGAUCAUUUGCAUUUUUCAAUAUAAAACAUUUGCAACCAAACACAUGAAAAUAGGAAACAAUUGACUUUUUUCCUUUGAACAAUUCAUUGGGAGUUUUCUCUAGAAUAGGCCUUAAGAAGAUUUUAUUAAUAAUAUAACAUGCUGUAAAAACUGCUUCAGCCCAAAAACGAGAAGAAAUGUUGCUUUCAAUUAAAAAUGUUCUAACCAUUUCUUGCAAUCAUUUGUUCUUCCUUUCCACAACUCCAUUUUGUUCGAGAGUGUAUGGAGAGGAGAACAUAUGCUGAAAACCAAAUUCAUCACAGAAUUUAGCAAAGUUUUGAUUUUCAAACUCACAUCCAUGGUCUGUCCAUAUACUCGAAAUAACAUACCCUUUCUCAUUCUGUACUUUCUUAGCAAACUUGAUAAAAUAAGAAAAAGUUUCAAACUUACUUGUCAGGAAGUAUACCCAAGUAAAUUGCGAAUAAUCAUCCACUAUUACUAGGUAAUAUUUCUUUCCACCAAUACUCUCAGUCCUAAUUGGUCCAAAGAGAUCCAUAUGUAGGAGUUGCAGCACAUGAUUAGUGAAAACUUGAUUUAUUGCUUUGAAAGAACUUCUAACAUGUUUUCCCAACACACAUGGUGUGCAUAAUUUAGAUUUUUGGUAUGUUAGAUUGGGUAGUCCACGAAUAAGCUUCUUUGAAGAGAUCUUGGCAAUUUGCUUCAUAUUGAUGUGGCCAAGUUUUCGAUACCAGAAAUUAGUUUCCUCUUGAAUUGAAAUUAUACAUUGAGAUUUUUCUGGUUUGAUAUCCAAAAGAUAGAUGUUCCCAUGUCUUCGCCCCGUGAAAGUCUGAGAGAAGUCUUUACUGGUUCCCGAACAUGUUCCUUCUUGAAAAUUGAUUUUGAAACCUAUGUUGCACAGUUGGCUAAUACUUAGCAAGUUGUAAUUGAGCCCUUCUACUAAGGAGACGUUGUUGAUUGUGAGACUUCCAAUCUUUACUAUUCUGCAUCCGACAAUUUUUCCUUUGCUUUUUCCAUCAAAAGAAACUUUUCCACCAUUAACUUGCAUAAGCUUUAUGAAACAACUUGAAUCCCUUGUCAUAUCUUGAGCAUCCACUAUCCAAGUACCAUUUAACAUUUUUCUUGAUAGUGACCUGCAUUUAAAAAGGAAACUCAAGUUUUCUUUAGUACCCACAUUUUCUUGAGUCCAAUGGAGUUAGUACAAUAUACUGUCUUUGCCCAAUCUUUCUUAAUAGGUCUCCAAACCAUAGGACAUUAUUUCUCAAAGUGUUCUGAGCUGUUGCACUUAGAACAUUUAAGAGCACUACGGCCAACGGGUUUUACAAAGACUUUUUGAAAAUGUUUUCUAUAGAAGGCUUUUGUCGGUCUUUGUUUGAUUCUUUCCUUUAUUUUUGAAAAAUCAAUUAGAGGAAUGGUUUCAGAAGUCAUUCCCAAACCUGAUUUGUUAAAGUAAGGUCUUUGUGCUGAAAUAAUCUUUUUCAAUUUCUCAGAUCCUAUAGAAAACCUUUUUGAAAUACUUGAAAUAUCAUUUUUCAAAAGUGUAUUUUCUUUUGAAAAAGAGUCUGCAUUUUCUUUCAAAGUAAUAAAACUUUUAUUUAAAUUUUCGAACUUUUCUUUCCAAACAAUCUCCUGUUGCUUCAAUGUAGAAUUUUCCCUUUUUAGCUCGGAAAUCCUCUUGAGAGAGGUUUUGAGACUAAGACACAGUUCAACAAUAUAUUUAGAGACUUUAGUAUGAAUUUUUAAAUUACUUACCUCGAAUUCACUAUUUGAGUCUAAGUCUGUAUCUAUCUCAGAGUCUGAAUCUGAUUCUAAUUUUACCAUUAAACAAAUAUUAGCAUAAUCAUCAUCACUCUCUUCAUAUUCGGUAUCACUCCAAGUUUAUGCUUUGAGUACCUUUUUGUAUUUCCCAGCUUUUCCUUUCUUUUUCUUCAGCAAGGGACAGUUGAGUCUGAUGUGUCCCAUUUUCUUGCAUUCAAAACAAAUCACAUCUUUAUUGGAUUCAUCGUCCUCAGCUGAUUUAUUUUGAAAUUUUUGAGAACUUUGUUUCUUCCAAUUGAAUCUUCUUCCCCUUUUUUUUUAAAGUUUUUUGAACAUUCUUAUCAUGAGAGCAAGCUCUUCAUUGUCCAUAUCGUCUUCAAAAUCUAUAACAUCAUAAUCAUCAUUAGAUUUUAAAGUAAUAGAUUUUUUACCUUUGGGAUCUUCAUCUUCAUUGAUUUGCUCCACUUCAUAAGACUAAAGAGUGCUAAUCAAUUUGUCAACGGAGAGUGGCAUGAUCCUUUGUGUUUCUCUUAUUAAGGUCUUUACAUGAUUCCAAUCUUUAAAAAGUCCACGCAGCAGUUUGCUAACCUUCAUGGGUCCUGAGAUUAGUUGACCUUGAUACUCAAGACCAUUCACAAUUUCUGUAAAAUGACUAAAUAUGUCAGUGAUAGAUUCUCCUAGCUUCAUACUAACCAAGCGGAAUAUUGAUUCUGGUUUCUUUCACUCGAUCGGUUCCUUCAUAGAUGAUGUGCAGCUUAUCCCAGACUUCUUUAGCUGUUUCACAAGAAGAUAUUCUGCUAUAUUCAGUAGGAGAUAAUGCACAAUAUAAGGAGUGAAUUGCUUUUGCAUCAAGAGUUCGUCUCUUGGUUAUCUCUUCUUGAGUCAUUUCGCUAGCCUCAACAACUUCUUUUCCAUUUUCUGAGAUUGUUGUAGCUUUAGGAAUGAUUCCUCUGUCUACCACAUCCCAUUCCAGAUGAUCUUUUGAUCUUAGAAAUGCCUUCAUCUUGUUUUUCCAUAUAAUGUAUUCCUUUCCAUCAAAAUAAGGCGGUCUGGUGUUGCUUUGCCUUUCAACCAAAUCUGGAGCCAACAUACUAGCUAUGGAUCUUUAACUCUAAAGUAAAAACACUUCAAAUUAAAUGAGUACACAGGCUCUGAUACCAAUUGAAAGAGUUAGUACGAGCACCUAGAUGGGGGUGAAUAGGUGCGAAAUAAAUUUUGCAAAAUAUAGGGUAAAACUCUUACUUUUAAUCUGAGUUUGGUUGACAAUGGGCUUUGCAGAGAAAAUCAGACUCUAACAAUUAAAUAGAGUUAUAAAUAAAGUAAAAUAGUUUAGGGAAGAGAAUAAGAACACAAGAUUUAUAGUGGUUCGGCUUAAUCCAAGACUACAUCCACUCUCCCGCACUGACAGCCCAUCGGCUGGAUUUCACUAUGAAUCAAAAGAGUCGUCACAGUAUCACAUCCUUGAUUCCACAGUGUAAAGACUCUGCUACACUUCCUCAAGGUCUCACAAGUAGCAAAAUUCUCUUUUGAAUACAAAUUUAUGCUCAAUAAUUGAAUCAGCAAAGAACAAGGAACUUCAGACUUUGAAAAUUUUCUAUCGCGCACACACUCGAAUAACUAGAGUAUCUUCCUUAUAUACUCCUCCAUGCCUUCAUAACUGUUGGCACAUUCCAAAGGAGUUCUUCCAAUCUACCCAUUGGACAUAAUCAAUUAGGAAUAUCUCGAGUUACUUAAGGAAUGUGAUGAUAGCCCACCAAUCUUGCUCGCCCAUACAAUCAGGAUAUAUGUUUCCAUAAGUAGAACCUUUCAAGUAUACUUCACCAAUCAACGGAUCCAAAUUACUCGAAUUCAUUUCAAAACGAAUAAUAGAUCUUGAGAUGCUAUCUCUAGCCGUGAGAACUUCUUUAGCCACUCGAUUCUAAAUAAGUCUUAUUCGUCAGUCUAGAAACUGUCAAUGAGGGCAGACUUUAAAUCUUGAGUCUGGCGGUCUGGUGGUCUUCAGACUUUGACAAACUAGACUGAUGGAGACGUUUUGUCACCUUCAAAAUAAAUAAAGAAGUUUUCUCCAACAUUAAUGAAACAAUGCUUUAUACAUUCCUUAUGUGAUGAUAUACAUGUAAGCUUGCAAAGUAUUUUCAAAACCAUAGAGAAAUACAUGAAAAAUACGCCAAAAAGUACCCCCAAAAUCCACAUAUUUAGGGUUCCACAUUGUGGCAUUCCAAAAUUCAUGGCAACCUCCAUAUACAUUAAGGCCUAUGAAUAGGUGAUGGAAGUACCAUCAAUUUGUAUUGUAGCCAUUUGAUCCAUGAUUCGCAAUAAGAUUUAUGGCCAAGCUUUUAAUGGAUAAUUAUUUGAUAGGAAAGAAAAUUAUAUUCUUGGCUAUGUGGUUUAUAGGCUAGAAUUUAUUAAUUUAUGUUGCAAGCUUUUAUGGCCAAGUGAAUAAGUGUAAUUAGGUAAUUGUAUGAUGGGUAAUUAGGUGAUGAUUAAAGGGAAAAAAUUAGAAGAGUGGGUUGAAUUUUAUUGGCCCAAGAUUAGCCCCACCAUUCGGCCCUUUUGGCUUGGCCCGCGAAGCUCAAAGGAAAGGAGCUGCCGUCGACCAAGGGGGAGGAGGCCCGGCCUAUGAAGCCCGUAGGGCUGUCAACGGAAGGAGGGGCGGCCCAUGAGAGGCCGAUCCUCUUGCAUGGCAAUUACCAAGUGGCUGAGGGGAAUUACCAAGUGUCAUUUGCAUGCAAAGAAAUGAUGACAAGCUAAUCAUGAGGGGGAAGAAAGAAGAAGGGGCGCAUUGAGCAAAGGGGGGGUGUCGCACGAAGAGAAAGGAGGAAAGGGAGAGAGAGAGAGAGAGUCACCGCUCGAGAGAAAGAGAGAAGAGAGAAAGGGAGAGAGCGAGUGAGUGAGAGAAGAAGGGGAAGAAGGAGGCCAAUCGCUGUUGUUUGUCGUCGCCGUCGAGCCGCCGAGUCCUGCCUUACCCCGCCGUCUUUGCUCAUUGUUUUGUGCUCGGAUUAGAGGCAAAUAGAGUCCUAAAACCUACCCUUUGCUUGCUGUGAUGUGUAUUGUAAGGGAAGAUAAACUUUGGUUGUGGUAGAAGUGAAGAAAUUCGAAGCUCUAGGGAAAAUAUGGUAGCCUUGCAUUCUGUUUUCUAGAAAGGCAGUCCGAUGCGAUUUUUUUAGUUGGAAUUUUACUUCGACUUCUUGAUGAAAGCUGUAGAGAAAUUUUUGGAGAGUAACAUAUCAAAAUUUCAGAAGAAAUGAACAAGUAUAGACCGGUGAGACUAUUUUUCUUUGAAGAAGUUGGAUCUGAAAAUCGUAAUGCUGAUCUAGUGUGAUUCUGUGAAUUUCAUAAAAUUCUCCGGUUGAAAUUGGAUCUCGUGUUCUGAAUGAAAGUUGAAAAUGACAUGUUAAGGAGUAUUAUACUAAAAAUUUAGAGGAAAUGGAUGAGUUUAGGUUGGUGAAACAAUCUUUAUUCAAAACGGUUAGAACUGGAAUUCGGUGCCGAGGGUUAUAGACAGUUAUGGUUAUUAUAGAUUUUAAUCUAUCAUGAAUCUGGUUUUGAGCUCUGCAUGAAAUAUUUACUCCUAGAUUUCUUCUAUAAUAUAUAAAAACUUCAGAAUUUUGGGAAUUUGUUUAGGAUUUUUACUGAAUUUGUGAAUAAAACUGUGUAUGGCAAUAUUUCGAAAUUAUAAAGACUGUGAUGUGUGGACUGUACCGAAUUUUACGAUGAUCUUUUGAUAUGGUGUCUUUCACUGAAUAUUUUCCUCUAGAUCUUGUAUAAAAUUUUAAGAAUUUAUUAAGGCUGUUUACUAAAUUCUCAAGAAUUAAGACCAAAGGAGUGCAAUCUAUUUUUAUCCGAAAUUGUUGUAUUUUCAAAACUAAAUGAAAUUGCUCCAUGUGAUAUAAUGUUUUGAGUGGUUGAUUAUGCUGCAUAUGUGGUGACAUAUGGCAUGUUAUAUGACAUCAAAAGCUGGUUGAGAAACUUGAUAUUGUUGCACCAAAUGCCAUGUUGAAAUUGAAAUACAUGUGUAAAUAUAAAUUAAGAUAAUAACAAGACCAUCGAAGGUGUGAGCCGAUGAUGCCUCGGGAGUUUUGAGAUGCCCAGAGUGUGUGUGCCGGGGGGAUACCUUGUGAUGCUAGUUGGGGUACGAGAUGCCUGGAGUGUGUGUGCCGGAUGCCCGGAGGUGAGUGCCGGAGGCUCCUCGCGAUGCUAGGUGGGAUGCGAGCGAUAAAUUGUGGGAUGCAAACAUUGGUCCCUGGAAAGAAAAAUGAUGUGAUCUAAUUGAAAGAUAAAGAUCGAGAAUUGAAUCAUGUGCAUGGAUGUGUGCUUAUGGCAUGGGAUGAACCUCAUGGGAAUACAAGCCCGGAGUGCAUGGUGGUAUGUGCACAUUGCAUGAUGAUAUAUGCAUGGCUACUUGAUGAUAUAAGUACAGGUGCACGGUGAUAUAUGUACAUUGUAUGAUGAUAUAUGCAUGGCUGUAAGGUGAGGUAUGCUUGAAUGCAUGAAUGAUAUGUGUUUUGUUCUUGAUACCUUGAUUGUUCUGUUUGACGCAUUGUGUAGUUUGGUGAAUCUUUACUGCUGAGUGGUUGUACUCACCCCUUUUGGGGAUUAACAUUUCAGAUUAGAAAAAUGCAUUUGCUACCAGUUGCACACGGUACCUAUUAUGGAUUGCCAUAUGAUGUCGAGGUGAAGUGCACAGAGCAUUCCUGUGUUAGUUUGCUUGGUCUACUGUAUGUCCAAGUCCGUGUUUUAGUGAUGUACAAUAUGGGUCUUGCUGAUGGCCCGGUUAUCCAGGAGUUUUUGUCCGUUCAUGUCCAGCAUGGUGGAGUGAUGCUAGGGAUGCUACCACCGCCGCCGCCCGAUGCACUGGGUUGGGUGUGAUGGCACAUAUAGCUGGUGGGAGCUGACACUUUUUAGGGAUAACCGAUGCUUGUUGAUGGAAGGGUGUACAUGUUUGAUGUAGGGUCAAGUUCUCUUUUGAGUUAUAGCCAAGUAUAGUUAAAAAUCUUGGCCUUUUGCUGUACCGACCCGAAAUAUCCAUCGUGAAAAUAUAAAUAAAAGUGACUCGACUUUGUCUUUUCAUUUGGAGCGUAGGUGGUGUGCAUUGCAUUAUUGUUAUUGAAGUGAGGAUUGGUGAGAUACGUUUAUGCUUCCGCUGAUGAACUGUGCUGAGACCUUUACAAAAAAAAAAAAAAAUGGAAAAGUAUUCUAUUGAUCAACCCCUAUGAACUAUGGUUUCACUUUAAUUAAAAAGUUACCUUACUGGUAUGUAGUAGGAUGAGUGACAAGUACCUGUGGUGACCCUAACGGAUCGGGGGCCGUCGAGGGAUGCCACAGACUAUUGGUAUCAAAGCAAAUGGUUAUAGGUGGAGUGAUAGGGAGCCUCAUUUGGAAAUUGAGGAAUAUGAUGACAAUAUACACCAUAAGAUAUUAACUGGAAUAGUUGAGUAACUUUGAAUAACGGGUGAAGGAUAUUCACUCGUAGAUCCCUAGUAGUUAGUAUGAGUUGCUUUUAGGUGCCAGUAACAUGUUUAUGUUACUUAUGUAGUUAUAGUUGCUUUUAAAUGGAGAUAGUGAGUCUCAGAUAAUUCCUGAGGCAAAUGCUUGGAAACUGCAGGAAAGUCAUGGUGCGAGUUGGAAGUGCUCAUCUAUCGAGGGUUGAAGCCUCUACUACAAGGGCUGAACCCCAAAUGGAAGAUAUCCUACAAGCAUUGGCCAAUAUUGGAAAUCUGAUGGAAAGGCAAGCGCAGCAACAACCCAAAGUGGAACGUCGCCCUCAAGGACUGGUGGAGCAAUUUCUGAAGCUGAAGCCACCUAAGUUCAGUGGAAUGGGAAGUCCUGAGGAGGCGGAACAUUAGAUUGAUGGGAUAGAACAGAUUUUCCGGUUGUUGGACAGCAGUGAUGUUGAGAAAAUAGUUUUGGUAGAGUACUAGCUGGAAGGAAAUACAAAGUUUUGGUGGAGAGCUUCGAGGAAUACGAUCUUUCCACCAUGUACUGAUGUGAACUGGGAUGAGUUUGUUAAAGCUUUUAAUAGGAAGCAUUUCUUUGACUGUGCUAAGGAUAAGAAGAUCACUGAAUUUGUUCAGUUGGAACAAAGGGAGCUAACAGUGGAUCAGUAUGAGGCAACAAUUUCUGAAUUGUCUAGGUAUGCUCCCAGAUUGAUUGAGGAUCAUGAGGAAAAAGCUAAGAGAUUUCUGAAAGGGUUGAAGAUUGAUAUUAGGAAACAACUGGUGCCUUUGAAUAUAAGGGAUUAUCAUGAAAUUUAUGAUAGGGCACAGUUAGUGGAACAAGAGCUGGUGAGAGAGCGAUCAGAGUCUAAGAGACAGUGGAGCUUUAGUGAUAUCAGAAGGGGUAAGAGACCCUAUCCUGGUCAAGGUCAAAUGUGGGAUGCGAAGAAAAAGAGUCAUUUUGGAAAUUUUGGAAGAGUUAGGGAUGGCUUGAAUAUAGGGAGAGCACCAUAUCAGCCUGAUGUUUGUCGAAGGUGUGAUGGACGGCAUGACCCAAGACCUUGCAAUGGACGGCUGAGAUGUUAUGAUUGUGGAUGAGUAGGUCACCUUAAGAGAGACUGCCCACAAGAAAAGUCGCAAAGUGUUGGCUUGGUGCGACAAGCACAACAGAGUGUUGUUAGACCAAACUUACCAAGGAAUCCUCAGAGGCCACCAGUACAAGGAAAGGUGUAUGCGGUCACCCAAGAGGAAGCGAGAGCUUCCAGAAAUGUUAUAUUAGGUACAAUUUUCAUAAUUGGCAAGAAGGCAUAUGGAUUGUUUGACAUGGGUGCUACGCAUUCAUUUAUAUCUGAAAGAUAUAGGCAAUUGAGUGAAAUAGAAGUUACACCUCUUGAGACGCCUCUUUGUGUUUCCACGCCAUUAAAGAAUAUGGUAUUAUCUACGAUGAUGUGUGCAAAAUGUAAGAUAUCAAUAGGAGGAAGGGAUAUAUGGAAUAGACCUAGUCAUAAUGGCUAUGUAUGACUUUGAUGUUAUCAUAGGAAUGGACUGGCUCCAUAAGCAUAGGGCUAAGGUGGAUUGUUAUAGCUAAGUGAUCCAAUUCAUGUUGCCUGAUCAGUUUAGUUUCAAAUUUUUUGGAGGUUAGACAAACCCCUCUGUAGCCAUUAUCUCGAUGGUAGAAGCUUGUGAACUACUUGACGAAGGAUGUCAAGGAUACCUAGCAAUGGUAAGAGACCUUACUAAGAAAGAGGCUAAAAUCGGUGAGAUUCAAGUAGUCAGGGAAUUUCAGGAUGUGUUUCUUGAGGAGUUGCCUGGAUUACCACCAGAGCGGGAGAUUGAGUUUGAAAUUGAACUAAUGCCUGGAACAGGAUCGAUAUGGAAAGCCCGUAUAGGAUGGCCUUAGUGGAACUGAAAGAAUUGAAGGUGCAACUACAAGAGUUGCUUGAUAAAUGAUUCAUUAGGCCAAGUGCUUCACUUUGGGGUGCACCAGUUCUAUUUGUGAAAAAGAAAGACGGGUCGAUGCGUCUAUGUAUUGAUUACAGAUAGCUGAAUCAAGUGACUAUAAAGAAUAAGUAUCAUUUACCUAGAAUUGAUGAUCUAUUCGACCAACUACAAGGAAGUUCAGUCGUUUCUAAGAUUGACCUGAGAUCAAGAUACCAUCAAUUAAGGAUUAAGAAAGAAGACAUUCCCAAGACUGCAUUUAAGACUCUUUAUGGACAUUAUGAGUUCUUAGUUAUGCCUUUUGGAUUGACGAAUGCACUAGCCGCAUUCAUGGAUUUAAUUAAUAGGAUAUUUAAGCCUUAUCUGGAUCAGUUUGUGAUUGUUUUCAUCAAUGAUAUCCUAGUAUAUUCUAGAGGACUUGAAGAGCACAAGCAACACUUGAGCAUAGUUUUGCAAACUCUGAGAGAUCAUAAGUUGUAUACCAAAUUUAGCAAGUGUGAAUUUUGGCUGGACCGGAUAAUAUUUUUGGGACACGUGGUGUCAGAAGGAGGAAUUGCAGUGGACCCGGCGAAAGUUGAGAUGGUAAUAAAUUGGCCGAGACCAACAACACCCACUGAAAUACGGGGUUUCUUAGGAUUAGCUGGUUAUUAUAGAAGAUUUAUUGAAGGGUUUUCACGACUGGCAGGCCCCUUAACAAAAUUAACUCGAAAGAAUGUGAAGUUUGAAUGGAGUGGGGAAUGUGAAAGGAGCUUUCAGGAACUUAAAAGAAAAUUGACUUCGGCUCCAAUCUUGAUUAUACCAUCUGGGUCUGAUGGUUUUACAGUAUAUAAUGAUGCAUCUCACAAAGGACUGGGAUGUGUUUUGAUGCAACAUGGCAAGGUCAUAGCCUAUGCAUUGAGGCAAUUGAAACCCCAUGAACUGAAUUACCCAACACAUGAUUUAGAAUUGCCAGCUAUAGUGUUUGCUUUGAAGAUAUGGAGACACUAUCUAUAUGGAGAGAAGUUUGAAAUCUAUACAGAUCAUAAGAGCUUGAAGUAUUUGUUUUCACAAAAAGAGUUGAACAUGAGACAAAGGAGGUGGAUGGAGUUAUUGAAAGAUUAUGACUGUGAGAUACAAUACCAUCCAGGAAAGGCAAAUAAGGUGGUAGAUGCCCUUAGUCGAAAGUCGGCUAUGGACAUGGCUAGUCUAAGAAUAAUAGAGUGGAAUCUGUUAAAGUCUAUUGUGGAUUCAAACUUCAAGUUGGAAAUGGACCACCUUACUGGUAUGCUUACUGCAUUAAGAAUUGAGCCUGAUAUUAUUCGGAAAGUUAAGAUUUUACAAGAAUCCGACCCAGAGAUUUUGAAGAUACAAGACGCUAUGUCUUUAUCAAAAAGACCAGAAUUUCAAGUCUCUGAAGAUGGUGUGAUAAGAUGCCAAGGACGACUUUGUGUUCCCGAAAAUGAGGAAGUAAAGGGGGAAAUUCUGUUAGAGGCACAUAGGAGUAAUUAUUGUAUUCAUUCGGAUAGUACAAAGAUGUACAGGAAUUUGCGUCAGCAAUUUUGGUGGAAUGGCAUGAAAGUAGAUACGGCUAAACAUGUUUCUCAAUGUUUAACGUGCCAACAAGUGAAGGCGGAACAUCGCAAACCUGCAGGACUAUUGAGACCGUUAGACAUACCAGAGUGGAAAUGGGAGCAUGUAACGAUGGACUUUGUGCAAGGACUGCCAAGGACAUCGAUUCGAUUUGGGUGAUAGUGGAUCGCUUGACUAAGUCUGCUCAUUUCCUAGUUGUCCGCAUGAACUAUUCAAUGAAUAAACUUGAUGAGAUGUAUGUAAGCCAGGUAAUACACUUACAUGGUAUUCCUGUAAUGAUCACCUUUGAUCAAGACUCUAGCUUUACUUUAAAUUUUUGGUGAAGUCUCCAAAAUGCCUUAGGGACAAAGCUUCAAUUUAGUACUGCUUUUCAUCAUCAAACAGAUGGACAAACAAAAAGAGUGAUCCAAACUCUAGAAGAUAUGCUAAAAGCCUGUGUUAUUGACUUUAGAGGAAAUUGGAAUGAAAAUUUGCACCUGAUAGAGUUCGCCCAUAACAAUAGUUUUCAGAAAAGUAUAGGCAUGGCUCCAUAUGAAGCAUUAUAUGGAAGAAGAUGCAGAACCCCUAUCUGUUGGAAUGAAAUAGGUGAAGGAAAACUAACAGGACUCGAACUAGUGCAAGUUACUACAGAAGCGGUCGAGAUAAUUAGGGAAAGACUUAAGAUAGCCCAAAACAGACAAAGAGACUAUGCGGAUAGGCGUAGAAGGCCUUUAGAGUUUAAUGUGGGAGAUCAUGUAUUUCUUAAAGUAUCCCCUAUGAAAGGAAUAUCCUGAUUUUGAAUAAAGGGUAAGUUAAACCCUAGAUUUGUUGGACCUUUUGAGAUACUUAAAAGAAUAGGAAAUGUAGCCUAUCGUUUGGUGCUGCCUCCUAAAUUGGAAAAUUUACAUGAUGUGUUUCAUGUGUCGAUGCUAAGAAAGUACCAGCCAGAUCUUGGUCACAUACUCGAUCAUGAAGCCAUCAAAGUGGACGAGAAAGUGAGAUACAUCGAAGAGCCUGUGCAAGUGCUGGAUCGAAAUGAGCAAAUUCUUAGGACCAAGAAAAUCCCGUUGGUAAAGAUAUUAUGGCAACAUCACGGUAUGGAGGAAGCCACAUGAGAAAGUGAGGAAUCAGUGAAGGAAAAGUACCCCUACUUGCUUAAAGAGGCAUAAGUGAUGUCUAAUUUCGAGGACGAAAUUCUCUAAGGAGGGGAGAAUUGUGGCAUCCCAAAAUUCAUGGCGACCUCCAGAUACAUUAAGGCCUAUGAAUAGGUGAUGGAAGUACCAUCAAGUUGUAUUGUAGCCAUUUGAUCCAUGAUUCGCAGUAAGAUUUAUGGCCAAGCUUUUAAUGGAUAAUUAUUUGAUAGGAAAGAAAAUUCUAUUCUUGGCUAUGUGGUUUAUAGGCUGGAAUUUAUUAAUUUAUGUUGCAAGCUUUAUGGCCAAGUGAAUAAGUGUAAUUAGGUAAUUAUAUGAUGGGUAGGUAAUUAGGUGAUGAUUAAAGGGAAAAAAAUUAGAAGAGUGGGUUGAAUUUAUUGGCCCAAGAUCAACCCCACCAUUCGGCCCUUUUGGCCUAGCCCGCGAAGCUCAAAGGAAAGGAGCUGCCGUCGACCAAGGGGGAGGAGGCCCGGCCUAUGAAGCCCGUAGGGCUGUCAACGGAAGGAGGAGCGGCCCAUGAGAGGCUCAUCCUCUUGCAUGGCAAUUACCAAGUGGCUUAGGGGACUUACCAAGUGUCACUUGCAUGCAAAGAAAUGAUUACAAGCUAAUCAUGAGGGGGAAGAAAGAAGAAGGGGCGGAUUGAGCAAGGGGGGGGGGGGUGUCGCACGAAGAGAAAGGAGGAAAGAGAGAGAGAGUGACCAUCCGAGAGAAAGAGAGUAGAGAGAAAGGGAGAGAGCGAGCGAGCGAGAGAAGAAGGGGAAGAGGGAGGCCGAUCGCUGCUGAUCGUCGCCGCCGUCAAGCUGCUGAGUCCCGCCUUGCCCCGCCGUCUUUGCUCGCUGUUUUGUGCUCGGAUUAGAGGCAAGUAGAGUCCUAAAACCUACCUUUGCUUGCUGUGAUAUGUAUUGUAAGGGAUGAUAAACUUUGGUUGUGGUAGAAGUGAAGAAAUUCGAAGCUCUAGGGAAAAUAUGGUAGCCUUGCAUUCUGUUUUCUAGAAAGGCAGUCCGACCUUUGAUGAAUUCUUGAGCUGCAUACGAUUUUUUUAGUUGGAAUCUCACUUUGACUUCUUGAUGAAAGUUGUAGAGAACUUCUCGGAGAGUAACAUAUCAAAAUUUAAAAAAAAAUGAACAAGUAUAGACCGGUGAAACCAUUUUUCUUUGAAGAAGUUGGAUCUGGAAAUCGUAAUUCUGACCUAGUGUGAUUCUAUGAAUUUUAUAAAAUUCUCCGGUUGAAAUUGGAUCUCGUGUUCUGAAUGAAAGUUGAAGAUGACAUGUUAAGGAGUAACAUACUAAAAUUUAGAAGAAAUGGAUGAGUUUAGGUUGGUGAAACAAUCUUUAUUCAAAACGGUUAGAACUGGAAUUCGGUGCCGAGGGUUAUAGACGGUUAUGGUUAUUAUAGAUUUUAAUCAAUCACGAAUCUGGUUUCGAGUUCUGCAUGAAAUAUUUACUUCUGGAUUUCUUCUAUAGCAUAUAAAAAUUUCAGAAUUUUUGGAAUUGAUUUAGGAUUUUUACUGAAGUUCUUAAUAAAACUGUGUAUGGUAAUAUUCCGAAAUUAUAAAGACUGUGAUGUGUGGACUGUACCAAAUUUUAUGAUGUUCUUUUGAUAUGGUGUCCUGCACGGAAUAUUUUCCUCUAGAUCUUGCAUAUAACAUGUCAAAUUUUAAGAAUUUAUUAAGGCAGUUUACUAAAUUUUCAAGAAUUAUGACCAAAGGAGUGCAAUCUGUUUUUAUCCGAAAUUGUUCUAUUUUCAAAAAUAAAUGAAAUUGCUCCAUGUGAUAUAAUGUUUUGAGUGGUUGAUUAUGCUGCAUAUGUGGUGACAUGUGGCAUGUUAUAUGACAUCAAAAGCUGGUUGAGAACCUUGAUAUUGUUACACCAAAUGCCAUGUCGAAAUUGAAAUACAUGUGUAAAUAUAAAUUGAGAUAAUAACAAGACUGUCGAAGGUGUGAACCGACGAUGCCUUGGGAGUUUCGAGAUGCCCGGAGUGUUUUUUCCGGAUGCCCGGAGUGUGUGUGCCGGAUGCCCCGGGAGUGUUGGGAUGCCCGGAGGUGUGUGCCGGGGGGAUACCUCAUGAUGCUAGUUGGGGUAUGAGAUGCCCGAAGUGUGUGUGCCCGAUGCUUGGAGGUGUGUGCUGGAGGCUCCUCACGAUGCCAGGUGGGAUGUGAGCGAUAAAUUGAGGGAUGCAAACAUUGGUCCCUGGAAAGAAAAAUGAUGUGAUCUAAUUGAAAGAUAAAGAUCGAGAAUUGAAUCAUGCGAAUGGAUGUGUGCUUAUGGCAUGGGAUGAACCUCAUGGGAAUACAAGCUUGGAGUGCAUGGUGGUAUGUGCACGUUGCAUGAUAAUAUAUGUAUGGCUACUUAUGAUAUAAGUACAAGUGCAUGGUGAUAUAUGUAUAUUGUAUGAUGAUAUAUGCAUGGCUGUAAGGUGAGGUAUGCUUGAAUGCAUGAAUGAUAUGUGCUUUGUUCUUAAUACAUUGAUUGUUAUGUUUGACGCAUUGUGUAGUUUGGUGGAUCUUUACUACUGAAUGGUUGUACUCACCCCUUUUGGGGAUUAACAUUUCAGAUUAGAAAGAUGCAUUUGCUACCAGUUGCACGCGGUACCUAUUAUGGAUUGCCAUCUGAUGUUGAGGUGGAGUGCACAGAGCAUUCCUGUGUUAGUUUGCCUAGUCUGGUGUAUGUCCGAGUCCAUGUCUUAGUAAUGUACGAUGUGGGUCUUGCUGAUGGCCCGGUUAUCCAGGAGUUUUUGUCUGUUCAUGUCCGGCGUGGUGGAGUGAUGCUAGGGAUGCUGCCACCGCCGCCGCCCAAUGCACCGAGUUGGGUGUGAUGGCACGUAUAGCUGGUGGGAGUUGACACAUUUUGGGGAUAGCCGACGCUUGUUGAUGGAGGGGUGUACAUGUUUGAUGUAGGGUCGAGUUCUCUUUUGAGUUAUAGCCAAGUAUAGUUAAAAUCCUGGCCUUUUGCUGUACCGACCCGAAAUAUCCAUCGUGAAAAUAUAAAUAAAAUUGACUCGGCUUUGUCUUUCCAUUUGGAGUGUAGGUGGUGUGCAUUGCAUUAUUGUUAUUGAAGUGAGGAUUGGUGAGAUACGUUUAUGCUUCUGCUGAUGAAUUGCGCUGAGACCUCUACAAAAAAAAAAAUGGAAAAGUAUUCUAUUGAUCAACCCCUAUGAACUAUGGUUUCACUUUAAUUAAAAAGUUACCUUACUGGUAUGUAGUAGGAUGAGUGACAAGUACCUGUGGUGACCCUUAAGGAUCGGGGGCCGUCGAGGGGUGCCACACACAUACAUUUUCAUAUCCUUGAAAACAUCAAACAUGAAAAAUAAACACAUCAUAGUAUAGAGAAUUUUCAUAUGAGCAUGCUGAUGUCAACCACACGCCAAGCGGAGGUCCCACACGCCCUCACGCGGUGUCGAAGUACGCAGCGCGUAAACUGCACGCACGGGUGUGCUUGAACCGAUCCGACUGCUAAUUCAACUGGGUUCAACCAGUCCAACCAACCAAUGGUCCAAUCGGGUCAGGUCACCCGAUCAACUCGGGUUAGGUUAAUCGCCAAACUAGGUCAAGUCAGAUCAGUAAAACCUGUUCGAGUCAGCUUGACUGGGUAAUGACGUCAGCUCCGAUGAGGCGGUGGCCGAGUUAGUGGGGUGACCUAGUUGAUGACGUCACCUACCGCCUUAGGCAAUUAUAGGCCCGUGUGUGCGAGCACGUGAAUGCUCGCUAAAGCUGUUGCGGCGCGUGCAGGCACAUGGUAUUGACCUUUACUGGAGGCGUGCAAUCCACCAAAAUGCUUGUCUCAAUGAAAGAAGUUCAAAUAUGUGAUUUAAAUUCACUUUUACUAGUCUAAAAAUCACAAAAAUGAGCAAAAACAACACAAAGCCAUGUCAAAUCCAAGAUUCUUAAGGGUGGCCCAUUUGGGUCGUGCCACCCAUCGAAAUGCUUGGCUCAACAAGACAAAUCGAAAUAUGUGAUCGAAAUCAAGUUUCAUCAGACAAAAUUUUCAAAACGGGCUAAAUUCCUUAUGUUCGAGUUCUAGGUUAUGCCAACUCUAAUACCAAAUAUUGGCCAUCGAAAUGGUAUCCCAAGAUCAACAUUACUAGAAACUCAAACAUAUUGGAGGAGAAGACAGAGAUUUGUGUACCUAAUUUGAAAUCCAUCAUUCUUUAUUUGGAAUAGCAACGAUUCGACGUUUAGGUUCUUCUCCUUUAUAGCUCUCGGAUCCUAGCUCAAUGAGAUUGCCCCUCACGGCUUCCUUAUGUGAGGUGAUAGUGUGUUUGUAAAAAGUACGAGGGUUAGAGAAGAGAUCUUAAUGUUAUUUAUAGAGUUUUCAGCUAAGCCUUCUCAUCACGGGCCGGGCCAACUUCGGCCUACACAAGCCAAGUCCAUAUUCAACUAUUAAGAAACAUUAUGCCUUACCUUUUUAGAUUAAUCCCGUAAAACGAUAAAUCACAAUCUCAAUUGAUUCAACCCACAUCAAGAAAACUCUUACAUGAUAUACUGAAAUUCAUGCUAUCCGAUUACUAUUAGAAGUAUAGUUUAAUGCUUCAUUGUUCUUAUAUUGUUGAAAGACGUCUGACAUUUGUGUCUCUAGUUUUGUUUUUAUGCAAUUUCGUGGAAACUAAUCGUUUGUCAUCGAGUUGGCCAUGGAUGAACACCUCGCUGGAGAUGCCAUUCCUUCAGUCGAAGAAGCCCACGGUUUAAAGCUGUUCGAGUCAGCAUCUCUCUCUAUUUUAAUGUGCUUGUGUUUGUUUGUUUGCCGAGAUUGUUGGUGUUAGAGGUUUAGGUAUAGUGAGAUGUUUAUUUUUGGUGUUUUAAUGAUCGCCGAGAUGGCCGACCAGAAGUGAUGAAUGUCGGUCGGUCAUGUUGGCCGGUGAUGAUGUAGGAUGGUGACUGGCAGCCAGAUGGCAGUGGUGUCAAGUGUUUCUCAAUGGUAGAGAUGUAGUAGGAGUUAGGCCCCAUUAAAGGAGGAGCCAGAAGUUGAAGAUGAUGCUGGGUUGAAGGAGAUGGGCAGAAAAAGACAAAAUAGGAAAAAAAUAAAAGAGAAAAGGAAAAUAGAAAAGAAAAAAAAAAGGAAACCGUAGAAAAAUAAAAGGGCCAAGGGGUAUCCUGUUGUGGGCUAGGCUCAUUUCAAAAUGUGGGCCGAAAAAGAGUUAAAAAGAAAAAACAGUUCAUGGGCUUUUAUAACUAAUUUCGAGCGAGCUUUUAGGGUUAAUGUUUUCAACCCAACCUGUUUCAAUAGGGUUUGGGUUGAUUUAGUUGGGUCAGCUCUCUUAACCCGGUCUAAAUCCCAUUUAUAUUAAUAAAUAAAUUAAAAAUUAAAAAUUAAAUAAAAAUAUUUAAAAAGGAAAAAGGAAAUAUUACUAAAAACUCAGAAAAUGAUAAAAAAAAGUUUAAAAGCUUUAGGGAAUAAUAAAAAUUUCAGAAAAUUCGAAAAUUAAUAAAAAAAUUAUAAAUUUUAGAAAAUCAUUAAAAAUUAGAAAAUCCAAAAAUGAUAAAAAAAAUUUAAAAAAUAAUGGAUCAUUUGAAACUAAAACCUAGAAUUGGAUAACCCUUUAGGGCUUUACAAUAGGGAUUCUUGUUUUCCUUUGUCUUGUUUUCCUUUUUAGGUACAAUUUAGGAUGCUUGCAUAUUCUCUAUAAUGAUUAUAAUUGAUUUUGCUUUUCAAUAUUUGGAUGUCAUUUCCUUGUUUUAGAAUGGUUAGGACAAAUCUUUAUAUUUUCUUGAUAGGCUGUUAUGGCAUUAGUUAGCACGUGAUUAGAUUAGAUACCCAAAGGGCAUAAGCCUUGGGGCUAACAUAAUCAAAUUCCUGAGUCCAAAAUCUCUGGUUGCGUAAAUUAUAAGAUAUCAUUCUGUAUCCUACUAGGUUUUUAGCCAAGCCCAAAAAAGCUAGUGGCCACUCUUUAGUUAAAAUUUGCAUAAACUUAAUUGAUUAAAAAUUUGAACGCUCCAUGUCGCAUAAAGAGAGCUUGAGUCAAUGGAAGGCCAUCAGCUCGAAGUUGACAAUAUGCCUAAACCUAACAAACUCCCUCUCCCAUGAGGGGGGUUAGGUCCGGACAAUUUCCUUUUUACACAUUAUUUUUUGAACAUAACUAUCACCAUACACUUCUUCAUUCUUUUUUUUCCAUACUUUGCUAUGAGCUAGUCUACUACCUAAACCAAAGUGGUUCAUUUGGGUCAAGGAAUUUGACAUCAAAAAUAGUUUGAACCUGUUGAUACCAAAAGUUGAUUUGGUUAUCGAUAUGCUUGUGCUUAGCACAAAAAUGAGAAAUAUGUGCCAUAUGAGCAAGGAUAAGUAGCAGUCACGUGCAUAAUGCAUGAGCGUUACCUUAUACAACCGUCAACAAAUGCAGGAGCUAAGACAUGGUGAUCAAUGACAAUAUUUUUUUAAUACCAUGUGUCCAGUUAUUGAAAUAUGAUAACAAAUAGUUGGUGGCUGACUAUAUGAGCACUAGCAGCAAGUUUUCAUUGGAAGUAUUUCAAAUACUAUUCAAAUCACCAAGACCGUGGGCAUUGAGAAUGCACGUUGUGGAGGGAGCAAAAUUUCCAUUUAUAGACCCCAUCAUGGAACGAUCAUCGAUAACUGCAAACCCAUCAACACACAAUGAGGACUAUUAUACAAAAGGUGGGCAAGUGAAGCUUGCGGGAAUGAAGGAGUAUGGGCAAAAGCAAUGGAAGUUACUUGGUGAAACACAAUCGCUAAUCAUAGUCGAGGAGCAAUUACUACACAUUUGCGAAACUAUUCAACAAGAAACCCUCCGCGCGAAUCACACAAAAUGUUAUCUUCCAAUUAUCUAUACUUUCCUACAUUGUAGUUUAAAUUUCCUUAGCUAUAGCUUAAUAUUCGCAUCGUCAAUUAGAUUCCGGCGUGUAUUUUUAUUUUGAUACCUCAUUAUUGAUUGAAUUCUAGCAUUGUAUCUCAAUAUCCUUGAUUUUUGUCAUUAAUUGAAUUAUGGCAUAAUUCAAGAUUUAUUGUGUAACUUUUGGGCCUUGUCAUUAAUUAAAUUCCAACUCUGUAUGGGAUUGUUUAGUGUUGUUUGGAUUAAAAAAUUUGAUUCCUCUUUGUAUAAGAUAUCUUGUGUCCAGAGUUGGCUCAAAACCCUUUUCCCGUUUAAUAAAAACCAAAGAAUGAUUUUCAGUGAAAGAUAGUUCAUCACAUUGUUCUAUUUUAUCAUUUUCGUGCAGGCUCAUGUGAAUCAAGUUUGAUUCAGGUGUCAUCAUGAAAAUGCUUAUAAUGUCACAUUCUACACAUAAGAUUUUUCUUGAGAUUUUUGCACAUCAUUAGAUCAUAAAAAAUUAAUCAUGUUCUGUGAUAAUCAUGUUGAAUUGGGGACUUUUCCCAAGCCCAUUAAUACUCAUUUGUUUGGGCACCCUAGGGGCCAAAUUAUGCCUUGUUGUCUUCUUAAUAUUUGAAGCACGUGUUACAAGUUUCGCAUCGACUUAUGGCAUGUCAUGUUUGAAUAUUGUUUGAUAUGUGAAAACCAUGUAUCAAUUUAGCAAAUUGUAAUUGAAAUUUGCUAUGCAUAUCAUUCUUAGUUCAAAGUCACUUUGCAUUGUUAAUGACUCAUGUGACUUAUUUGCACUCCAACUUAGGGUUAAAUGUUCUACCCAAACCUUUGUCUCAUUCAACCUUAUGUCAUGUGCGAGUUUCACGCUUUUUAUGCAUUGUGUAGGUGAUCUUAUAGACUAUUAAGCAUGCAUCAUGUUCUGAUUUGUGCGUGGCUGAUUUGUGUGUCUUCAUGAUUUUCUUUUUUCGACUAUCAAUUUGACCUCAAUUGGACUCAAACCCUCUUAGGAAUUCUUAGGACUCGCCUUGAUCUUUUCAAUGCCGCUGAUUUUGUGUAAUUUUCCGAUAAUUUGGCCCAUUUUUCAUUUUUGUCAAGUUGGGCUAGAAAUCUGACUUAGGUGAAAUUCGGAACCUCUGUUUUACCCUUGUUGAGUCUGACUCUUUGUUAUUUUUGUGUGAUUUUCUCGUUUAAGAUUUUUAGGUCAGACCAUUAACGAACUUUGUUCUUCACUCUUUUGUUUAUGUUGUAGUAAAGUUUCAUGUUUGUUAGACCUCGUUUAAUGGGUUGAAUAUCCAUUGAUAUGUCGUGAUGCUCUGUUGUCUUAUUGAUUUUCUGAUGUGAUGUUGUGUGUUGUUGAAUUUUUACAAAUUCUUCCGUAACCAUUUUAGAAAACUUUUCUUCACGGAGUUUGUUCCCCGUGAUGUUGUGGAUAUCGUGUAAUUUUCUUAGAACAAAUUAUAAAGGGGUUCCUUUUCAAUUGUGUUGAUUUUAUUUACCCUGUUCUGUGGUGUUUUGUUACAAUUCUUUGCUGUGUUUUCCUUCUAGAAUUUUUUAGGUUAACUUGCAUGUUGAGUUUGCUUCACAUUUAUUCACGGACUUUGUUCUUCACUUUUUGCACUUUAUACACAAAAACUCUCGACAAAUAAAAAGCACUUUAGUAUGUUUUUUUGAACUUUUUGAAUGUCAUGAACUUGUCUAAAUUUCCCUAUUCUUGUCAAUUUGAACCUAAGUUUAGUUGAAGUGAUACUCAUGCACACAUUUUUUAUGUCGUCUUUGAAUUUCAAACUUUCAAACCAUGCUCUUGGUUUGGUAUUGAUGUUACCUAAAGUUUGGGACAUAUUUAAGGCAUCUGCGAAGUCGAUUAGAGUACAUAGGAUGCACCCAAGUUAACCUUGACAAUUAAAUGUGUUCCAUAACUAUGAUACAUCUUUUGCUAUACCGUUAGCAUAUGUUCUCACAAUUCACUAUUAAUUGUUCUUCAAAUAAUUUUUUAGCAUCAUUUGAACUCUUAUAACCUUGGACUUGUUUCCUUUCUUGAAUGCAUGUGAUUGUGAUUAGCGUGUGUCCACUAAAUAAGUGAUCAAGUGUUGGCUCCCUGAAAUUGACUGAUUGAUUGAGGACCAAGGCUCGAGGUUCCGCCGGCAUGUUUAUUUCUCGCUAUGCAUGUGUUCUUUUAGAUGUAUGCAUAGGUACGAUGUAUGAUUCCAUUGGAUGACCUUGGGAUUCACUUAGAACAUGUUUUAGGGGUAGAUAAGCAUUGGUUGCCAUAAGAGAACACAAAUGGUGGCUAAUAGCUAUAAGCUAUUAAAAUGAAUUGGGAUAGGUGUCCAGAGGUAUCGACGCAUGAAUUGCAAAGGCAGACCUUGAGGCCCAAUUUGUUCAUUUUGCACGUGGUGUCAAUUGUUUGAUUCUUCUUGAUUGUCUUGUGAAUGUUUUUGUCAUGAAUGAUUUUUUCUUUCCUAUUGUAUAUACCUAGUCAUAGUUUUAGGUUAGAAUUAGAAUAGGUCCUUGGAGAUGGAGAUACUUCAAGACUUGAAGGUGAUGGAAGGCCGAUGUCCUAUCCGACCGUAUUUUUUGUAUCAUUUUUCCCCAAUAUAUGUUUUGGGUUAUCUCGUGUUGUAUAAGCAUCGGACGAGUUGCAGGUUUAUUUCUUCUAUUUAUUUGUGUUCAUUGCUUAGGUUGUAUGUUAGAUUUGCAACAUUCCCUAAAUUGCUUACUUGAUUAUUUACUUAUUGCGUUAUCUUUAAAUUUCAAUUGUUUGCCUUCUUCUCUUUCAUAGAAAUAGAAUUGCAUAAAAGCAAUCAUCCACGCAUGAUCAUUUAGCUAGUACAAUUGACCUAAAAAAGUAAAAAGAAAUGCAUGGACACCUUAGGAAACAUGACAUACUAUUAAAUACCGAAAUUGCGCUAAUAGAAAUAUUAGCGUAACUCAAGUCUCUAAAUCUAUAAUCUCUAGUUGCAUAGAAAUCGAGGGACCACUCCUGACCCUCGAUUAAGUUUUCUAGCCGACCCUAAAAACGGAGGCUAGUGGCGAAUCCUAUCUUUUUUGGUUGUUUUAAAUAACUAGAUAAUAGAUGAACCUAUCGUAAGGGAUAUGGGUCUCGCCGAAACUCACCGGAGUUUAGCAUACCCAUUGUGGAAACCUCUUAAUGGAUGAAGUGAUGCCAUCCUUAAGGAAGAGAGUACUAUUAGGAGGGCUACUAUGAUAAAGGUACUUCUAAAUUCAAUAUCCACACCUGAUCUCCUCUUUCAAGGUAUGUCGCUCGUGUGGAUACAAAUCAUGACACCUUAUGAUAUCAUGCAAGGUACGAGUUUGGGAGAGCUCUCAACGGUGAAUGAGGAUACUCACAAGGGUCCAUCUCAAAAGACAAUGUGAUGACAUCUUUUGGAUUGCGAACUAUGAGAGAACUCUCAUGAUUAAGUACUCCUAAACCCAACAUUUUCCCCUCCCUACCGAGGGAGGGUCGAGAGAGGUCGGGUUGCAACACACGGCCGUUCUUCUCUUAUCUAAAGGACGUAACCUCAAACUAUAUCCAAAGAAAUCCAACUCCCAAAAGUCUUCAUCGAUAGCACUCCCUUACUAAGGGUUACUAAUUGAGGAACCUGAAAGGAUUAGGAAGAAAAGAGGUAGGCUACCAUGGCUCAAUGAAUAGUACAUAUUUUAUAAGCAAAUUGAGCAACUACAGCACAUGUAUACAAAGCGAUAUCGGAAACAUGUAAUCCAAAAUCAAGGUAUAAAAUACGUAUUGAAUCACAUGUGUAAUUUCAUUUUGACAAAUCUUUAUAUAAACUGGAAAUACUCAAUUAAAUCUACCAUCACAAUACAAAUAUCAAUUACCAAGUCCGUUGAUCAAUCUCGAAUCACAUGUCGAUGGUUCAUUCCAUUGACCAAACUCAUAUCACAUCAAAUCUCAAGGCCUUCGAGGUGGCUUUCACGAGACCACGUUAUCAUGUAACAUUUAGCCCUUAAGUACUUGAGGCCUUAGAGGUGGCUCCCACGAGAUUUGCAUCAUUAUAUACCACUUAGCCAUUAACCAACACUCAUCAACUGUACAAGGCUUUAAAGGUGGCUUCAUGAAAUUACGUUACCAUGUACCACUUAGUUCUUAACCAAGGUAUAUCAAUAGUACAAGGCCUUAGAGGUUGUUCCCACAUAACUCAAGUCACCAUGUAGUACUUAACUCUUUACUACAAGACUCUAGAGGUGGCUCAUACGAACUUACGUUAUUGUGUAGCACUUAAAACUUUGACUAAUGUAUAUCGAGAGUACAAGAACCUAGAGGCUGCUCUCAGGUGACUCGAGUCGCCAUGUAACACUUAGCUCUUGACUAUAAGGCCCUAAAGGUGACUUCCACGAACAAACGUUAUCAUGUAGCACUUAAUUCUUUACCAAUUCAUAUCACAAUUGAUUUCACAAACCAAAACAUAGUCUUUCACAAAUCAAUUAUUCCAUUAACCAAUCCAGAAUCCAUAUCAUAAAUAGGUUUCACAUAUCAAAUGAAGUCACCAUUCAUAAACCAUACUCAAAGUCAACGUAAUUUUUUCACAAACCCAAAAUAUAUCGUCUUUCCUAACUUUCUUUAUCAAACAACGUGUGUGUUUGUAUAUAUAUAUAUAUUUCACAAAACAUUUCUCACACCAUUUGGAAAUUCAUUUCAUAAAUUGAUAACAUUUUGAAAUGUCUUUCACUAAACGUUUCCCAAAUCAUGUUAGAACCCAUUCUAUAAAUCAAUUAGUAACAUAAUACAAAUAAAUAAACUUUCACAACACCUUCCAUAACAACUCCUUCAAACCAUUUUCAAAUAAUCGAAGAGCAGUAAAUGCCCGAUCCAAAUUUUAAUGCAGUAAAAAUGUUAUUUCAUAACUCAUAAAAUAUCAUUUUUGAACAUGAGGUCAAAUACUUAAACAAAGGAUAACACCACUCACCUUGAACUGCCUAUGAUCAAACAACAAAGAUUACUUGAAUCGUUAAACUCGCAAUCUUAUCAAAUAAGUGAGAAAUAACAUUAAAAUAAAAUAAAAUGCUAUCUUAACUAUGACUUGAAUAAACUAAUGACUCAAAUGUACUCACAAUCCGCUCAUGUAAAACAAUUAAGCCACUGGUCGUGCACUGUUCAUACGAGGCCAACUUCAAGAUUUUGUUUUCACAACAUCUUAAGCUAUAAUUUACAUAUAUACAGCUCAAUGACUCCUUAGUCGAAACUCGAAACUCAAAAUUGACUUAACCUCAAAUAUGCCCCAUAAUUUUGAAUAUUACUUUGAUUAGAUGAACAAGGGCAUGAUCACUUACCAAGCAUUAUGAUACAUAAUAAAAUCGACUUGGCGAGACACCCAUGGUAAGCACACAGAAAACCCUCUCUUUUACCAUCUCUUUCUUCUUUUUUUCUUUCCCUUUCCCUUUCUUUUCUCAGUCUUCUCCGUGUCUUACCCGAGCUCCCCCUUCCCUCUUUAUAGACCAAGUCAACUUCCUUUUUUUUUUUUUUUUUCUAAUGAGGUCCUCACGAGUUUUUUUUUUUUUGUCGGUCCUACUCUAUUCGUACUCCAACUUUCACUCUCAAACUUUUGCCCUGCCUCCUUGCAGAGCGUGGGAGUCGAAACCCACACUUGAAACUAAAUCGCCCCUGCCCCAACCCUCCGAAAAGAUGGGAAUUCGAACCCCCCACCCCUCCUUUCAUGUUGGAAGGGUGGCCACUAGGUCCCCACGAGUUGACCAAGUGCAAAAAAGUGACUCUUACAAACAUACAUGAAAUGAUGGUUGGAAUGCGGACCAAUCCAAAAGGCUAAAAUGAUUUUAAAAAAAGCCAUAGAAAGAGGUGAGCACGGUCGUUUUUAGCUUAAACCUCAACCCUCGGAAUACAGAAUAGGUAGGGAUCGUGAGCAGAAGCUGUUAGUAGGCGGGGAGAAGUUAUUGGCGAUGUCAGUCCAGCUUAGUUACCGGAACAUGCUAAAUGUUGGAAACAAUCAUUGGGACAUGAGAGACACUUUCAGAACAUGGGAAACAACUAGAACGUGAAAAAGUGGGAUCCUAGAGGUUAUGGACCACAGAAGAACCUGUCGAAAGAGAAGAAAGGCACCCCCACGCAGGAAAAAUGCAGAUAUAAGAUUCAACACUUGAUCUAUGUCUCCUAGCCACUUAUGUACUGAUUUCCAGCAUUUCUAGGCUUGAUCUUUUGCUUGAAGUUUUCUUCUUGUCAAAUUAACUUUAGUCUUGCUUUGUGUUUAACCCUAAACCGAGUUUUUGUUCUUUUCUCAAUUGUAACCAUCUCGUUAUCAACAUAAGGACUGUCAUGCAAUUCAGAAAUUGCCUAACUAUUAUUCAAAUAACACGAUAUUGUUGAGUGUUUGGCAUUGAAAACCUUUCUUGUGAAGAAACAAACAUAGGUAUUCAUAUAUAGAUUAACUUAUAAGUGUUAUUCAUUAUUUUCCUAGACUUUCAAACCUUCGUUUAAAAAAAAAUAAAAGUGGAGAAAAAAUAAAAGGUAUUUUCUUUUUCUUUUAUUAAUGGGACUAACGUACAUUACUAAAAUUUCACUAGAAAUGAAAUAGUUAUAUGUUAGAGCGGGAAGAACUCCAUACAUGUUUUUAUGAAUAUAUACUAACCAUUGGAUGUUAGGAUGGCCAAAUUAAAACAUCAAAUUAACUUGAAUACGACCUUUUAAUGUUUGGAAUCUUGAUUUUGAAAUCCUUUCUGAGUUGAAGGGUUUCAAUUUGCAAUUGUCCGAAAGUCGAACAAUCUUUGAAGCUUCCCCCUUCGCUUUCCAACUCAAGCUCUACUAGAUAAUUCAACCCCAAAUGUCAAAGUCAUUUGCUUACCCCGCGGGGCCUGCUUUCCCUUAUUUAAUGUUUAACGUAUUAUUAUAAAAGAAAGACCGUUGAUGCCAAGUUGGUCCUAUAUAACAAGCCAAGCGGCCUCCUCAACAUGAGAGAGGAGAAGCAAGAAUCUCUCCCUUUUGCAACACUCCGUCGCAAGGUACCAAGCCAGCAACAACGCUUUUCUUCUUCUUGCUCUUCCUCGCCGCUGCCGCCACUAAUUCCCCAUUGGUCCAUCCUCAACCACUCCCUCCAAGCCCAUAUCCAAGUCCGCGUCCCAAAAGCAUAUUCCUCCUCGCUGGGCAGAGCAACAUGGCGGGCCGGGGGGGCAUUGACCCAUCCACGGGGUGGGACGGCGUCGUCCCUCCCGAGUGCAGCCCCAACCCAUCGAUCCUCUGGCUCACGGUGAACCUCACAUGGGUCGAGGCACAGGAGCCGCUCCACGCGGACAUCAACACAAACAAGACGAACGGGAUCGGCCCAGGUAUGGCAUUCGCCAACACCAUCCUGGGCCAGGAUCGGAGUCUGGGCUUGGUGGGUUUGGUGCCGUGCGCGAUCGGCGGGACGAGGAUAAGCGAGUGGGAAAGAGGGACGUUUUUGUACUGCUAUUUAAAUUAAGCAAAUGGCGAUCAUAUUGAUGUGGUUACAUUCUUAGUCUAUUUUUAUUCGAGACCAGACAAAUAAUAGUUAGAUAUGCAUUUUGAUAGUAAUGGCUUGCAAAAGGGUCCGUGGGAGUCAAUGUGAUGUGUUUCUUUUCUGCAGCUUUUUAAAUAAAGAUGAAUAAUAACAAGAAAUGGCCCAUCAACGGUUGAAACCUAGGAUUUUCUACGGGGUUGGGGCAUUCACCUUAGGUCCCCGAGCGGCUUUUCCUCUAAAAUAAGUUCAAAAUAAUCGAAAUUCGGCCACCCAUCUCAUUAGAUUAAUGAACCGGACAUCAAGAAAUAGCGAUAUUCACACUAACCUCUUGAAAAAAUGUACAUUUUAAUUCGAUUUUUUUUAAUCCGCUUCAAUGGAUUACUAUUUAUUACUUAAUUGCAUGCUUGCUCUGCGUUUGGGAGCAGGUGGCUAUCGCAUCAGGACAGGGAAAUUUCACCGACGCGGUGAGAAAGGUCCAGCUCGGGCUUGACCUUCCGAACGUGAGAACCGUCGACGCCAGGGGGCUGCCUCUCGAACCCGACCAGCUCCAUCUAACCACCCCGGCCGAGGUCCGGCUUGGCCAGAUGCUGGCCGACGCUUUUCUUCAGGCUGUGUAAUCGACAAAAGACAGCCCCUCUUCUGUGUAAUUUCUGUACUAGUUAACAUGACAAGGUAAUAGUCUUUGGAUGUAUAAAGCCAGGAAAGAUCAAUUAGUAUCCACCUUUUUUAUAUCUGCUUUUUACUUGCAAAUUUGGAAUGGUCAUUUAGUAUGUGUUGCUUGGAAAAAUCAUUCAGCAACGAGUAGUAUUACUCUCUUGUUCAAAUACACGUUUGGUGCGAAUAAUCAGUAUACCGGUUGUUAUAAUAUGUCUCGAGUUUGAGCCCACGAACGAAGUCCGAUCCGAGAUAAAUUACUAUUAGAGGACGUUGAAUUAUGUGCAUUAGAAAUCCAUAUUAUUCGUCCAGUGUUACAGAGUUGGAUUAUUUAUGUGGAUAUCGGAAAUAUCGAGGAAAGGAAGAUACUGCAUCUUCCUAUUAGGAUUUGGACGCAACCAAAAGAAAAAUAAAAGAAAAUAAAAGAAAGAAAAGAAUGGCUAGACUUUGCUUCUUAAUCCUAGCCGGCAAAGUCAAAGAAAGAUACGGAUUUAUUCCGUGCAGAAUUAGAUUGGAUUCUUAGGGCAAAGAUAUAUAUAUAUAUAUAUAUAUAUAACUAAAGAUGUGCUCGUGGCUGUGGGUUUUCUAAGGUGGUCACAAAGAAAUACUGAAGCACCAUUUCCAAGUAAAUGCCUAAAAUUAGAGAUGAUCGGUUCCCAAUUUAGUCUAAUUCCAUUUAGGAACUGGGAACCGAACAAGGAGGACUAGUUCCUAUUUCUUGGGAUCGAGAACUGAACCAAAUGGUCCUAGGAUUGGGAACCGAACUAGCCAAGCAGUCCGGUUCGGUUCGGUCCAAUGGAACCAACCACUUGGCAAAAAAUUAAAUAAUAAUAACUUUUAAAAACAGUAAAGUUAUUAAAAUUUUAUGGUUUAUUGUUACUUUAAGAAAUUAAAAAAUAUAUUAAAAAAAAAAGAGUUAGUCCGAUCUAUCGGUCAAGUUUGGUCCGAUUCUCCCUUGGAACCGGAAACCAUACCGAAAAUUAGCGGUUUUAAUUUUAUGGAACCGGGAACCGAACCAAUGUCCCCGGAAACUGAACCAAACCGGCUAGUCUGGUUUAGUCCUAACAGUUUCCGGUCUAAGCAGUCCGAUAUGCUCACCCCUAAUUGACAUGAGUUAUUUCAUAGGCAUUGCUUGUUAAUUACAUUCAAGAAGAUUGGUAAGCAAAUUUAAUCUUGCAAGUUCAAGAUUUGUUAAUUCCUUCAUAAGAUUGAAAUAUUAUUUCAUAAGGAAUUGUGGGGUAAAGCACUACGUGGGUUAUUGGGUCUAAAGUAAAAUUCAUCGCUACUCUCCCAUGGACAUAGGUUACUAUAGUCGAACCACAUAAAUUUAGUAUACGAUUUAUUUUCUUGUUCUGUUUAUUUUAUUAUUUAAUCAUUCGCUUUUCGCAACGCCGGUCCUCGUGCAUUCACUAGCUAAAGACACUACUAAGAACAGAGAUUUGUGUGGAGUCAAUACUUGUGGUCAUGGCUGGUGAAUUACACCGGAAGACAGUAUGAUUACACAAGCAACUUGUGCAGAGAAGUGUCAAGCUAGAACUAGAAGUGCAUAUGACGCACGUUAUAGUCGACUUCUCUUAGAAGUAUCCAAUAUAGUCGUGCUCCACGGUUUAUUAUCCAAUGGCAAGAUGCUCGUGCGUUCGCAAGAAAAAUAAUAUGCAUAAAAUUAUAACAAAAUACACGUUCACAUCAAUCAAACUCUUCAUCAGAGUUUAUGCGGAAUGUCAUUUAAAGUAGAUCUGAAUUCCAUCAUUUAGAUUUAUACUCCAAUUAAAAGAAAACAUGAGACAUAAAAUUGCAACACUUAUAGAAUUAUAAAAUAAGUAAAUGGAAUGUUUGGAGCACAUAAUACAAUAUAAACAACUAAGAAACAUAUAAAGCAGAAAACAUGGUUUUCCUCCGAUUAUUGGAUUAUGUGCUUUGUGUCAUUGACUUGGUUUGGGCAACGAGUACUUGAGCUCCGACACCAAGAUGUUGGACUAGGUCUCAAUGGACCUUCCCAGGGACUACAGACUGAUCCUCGGCAGCGAGGUCCUAGGCCUGACCUUGAUGGACCUAGGUGUGGGCUUCAAGGAUUGGGGCUCAACCUUGAUGGACUCGAGCACGAAUGUCAAGCUCCCAAUCUCAACCUCAAUGGACUCAGGUGUAAGUAUCAAACACUUGGCCUAAGCCUCGAUGGACAAGGGACCUAUGUAGCACCGACACGGAUACGUGACACGACACGACACGACACGUUAUAUAUUAAAUAUAUUUUUAUAUAUAAAUACAUAAAUAAAUAAUAAAAAUAGCCUAGAAUUAAUUUACACUAAAAAUAUAAUUUAACAUUUGGUAAUAUCAUUCAUUAUUUUAAUUCGAUCAUAUACAUAAAACUUAGAGGAAAAACAUUAAAGAAAAAAUGCUGAAAUGAUAUUUUUAAAUUUAUUUAUUUAUCAUAUAUAACAUUUUUUUAUUACUUCUUUCAUAGUUAAAGACUUUUAAAAAAACUAAAACAAUUCUAAAAAAGCAAAACUGAAAAAGAAAAAAAAAAGAGUGAGAAGAGGCAGUGUACCAGGCCUCCCAUUUUUCUUUUCUUUUCUUUUCUUUCCUUUUUUUGUAUAUUUAUAUUUUGACCCCUCAAGUAUUAGAAAUUUUUAAAAUUGACCAUGUGCGCGUCGGAAUCGGGUAUCAGAAUUCCAGACUCAUGUGUCAGAGUAUGUUGGAGAGAGUUGAUCACGUGUCCGAUUUUUCAACACUCGUUGACCGUGUAUCGGAACGUGUCGAACACGAGUCGGAGUGUCGGACAUGACACAAAGACUUCAAGAGAGUGUCGAUGCUACAUAGCCGGGGACUGAGUGUCAAAGACCAAAGUUAGGCCUCGAUGGACUUGGGCAUUGGCGGGCACGAAGAUCCCGGGCCCAACCUAGAUGGACCUGGAUCCAAACGCAAGGGACCGGGGUACCAGAGACUAUUGAUGAACCUGGAUGUGGGCACCGGUAUUGGAGUUUGAGGCCCGGUCUCAAUUAAACCAAGCUUGAGAGUCAAGGUCCAAGGCUCGGCCUCGAUAAGCCCAAGCCCGGGCAUCAAGGACUUAGGACAAGCCUUUGUAGACCUAGGCUGAGACUCUAGAGAACCAAACACGACAUGAAUGACUUUAAUUAUCCAAUGCAAAAAAAUGCAAUGGUUUCAUGAAAACAAUAUUUUUGGUAGGGACUAUAAAUCCCAAUUGUUUGUGCUUUUCCUUUCUCCUUUUUCUAUUUAAAAAAAAAAAAAACCUUUGAAUAAAAUUUGAGAUAAGUGCAAUAAGUUCUAAAACUCAUUAUGAAAUUACAAUUGAAUCCUAAAACUUUCAAAAAGUAAGUAAGUUCUAAAAUUUAUCAAGAAAAUGCAAUCAAAUCCGAAAACUUAUCACAAAAAUACAAUCGAAAUCUAUUUUUUUUAAACGCAAUCAAUUGAAGGAUUUAAUUAGACCAACUUGACAAGUUUGAAGACUCAAUUGCACUUUUUAAAAGUUUUAAGACUCGAUUGCAUAUUCGUGAUAAAUUUUUGGACUUAAAUGCAUUUUUGUAACAAGUUUUAGAAUUUUCAAUAUACUUAUGCCAUAAAAUUUAGGUGUCAAAGGUCCUAAAAUUUGAAAUGGUAACACUUGAAAUGGUAACACUUGGCCUCACCAAUACAUUCUUGAUAUGAAAUAAAUCUCCUACAUAGGCGAUACUCCGAGUACCUAUUGUCCGGCCGUUACGGACAUUUUAAGAGUUGUGCUCUUGCUUUUCAACAGAACGACCACGAGGAAGACACUGCACUAUAGGCCGAUCCUAUGCAUCCUUUUGAAGCACAAUAUUGAAAUUUGGGCAAGAAAAAGGCUCCGAUCCUCGCUUUUAGCUUGGGCCUCGGUCUUUCUUUUGAGCUUAAUCCACAAAUUUCCCUUCAUCAUGCUAAUUGGUUAAAGUGAAAAUUCAAAAACCUAGUUCGCAGAAAGUUUUCUCACUUAAACAUAACGGAUUUCCUUAUUUGUGGUGUGCAGGUGUUCACGGCUUACAAGCUUCAGCCUAACGAAAGUGGGAUCGCAGAUUUUGCGCAUUAUUUCUCAAAAAAUAAAAAAUAAAAAAUGGUAGAAUGAAACAUGAAUCAAGAUAAACGUCAAGUGGUGCCUUUGUCAAAUAUGGCUCUGGUGCCGGGGGAUGUCAAUUGCAAUUUCGGGGAGGACAAAUUGUCCGCCAUCGAAUAGAGACGUCCAACUACUAGCCAAUGACCAUUGUCGGAAAGCAUAAAUUUUAGCACUUUGAAAAAGAUAACCAUUGGAUAGAUAGUAUGUAUCACGAGACCACCAAUUUUCUUAAUGAUGUGAUAUCUCUAUGGCUAAUCAAACAAUCAAAAUUCGAUUAGUCAAAUACGAACCAAGUAACAAAAGGAGAUUCACUUCAUGGGUCGGUAAUGUGAAAUUAAUGGAAUCACAAACUUUGAUGUAAACCGCAUGAAAUGAUUUACUAAAUUUGUAAAUUAGAUAAGACAUGAAACAAAAUGAUUAUAAUUAGCUCAAAUAUGGAAGACUGGUUGCACAGUUUGUGAUGGCACAAAGAAAUCAAAAUUAAUUUCUGCACUUUAUUCACCCGCUAGCACACAUGCAUAAAUCAAACCUAGUUACUAAUCUACUCCCAUGCGUUAAGUGAGAGCACCUCAUCUCCAAUUCCACAACAUUUCCGAAGUUGGAUACGACAACGCUGCUCCAAUUUUCAUUGGAUAAUGACAAUGAAAAUUCUUACACUCAUGUUAGUCCGUCACAUUUACUUUUCAAAUUCUUUUUCUCGAUUAUUUAAAUAUUAAAAUCUGUCACCAUCCUUCAAGUUAGUUAUUUCAUUAACUUCCCAACUUUUAGUUGAUGGAAAAGUCAAGGCUGGCAUUUUUUAUUAUUUAUUUCUUCCACAAGGACUACAUUUUGUUUUCAUCCAUUUACGUUUUAUAAAAUUAUUUAUUAAAGAAAAAUGAACUUUUUUUUUUUUUUUUUUGAGAUUGUGAGAUUAAAAGGAAAGGGGGCGGCAAUGUGUUGUGCCCUCUAUAGCCCACCUCCCUUGUCAGGGUUGAGGUAAGGGUGAUUGGCCCUCACUUCGCCGUAACCGCAAGCUACGAUUCUUGCCACCACCAGGUAAGGGCUACGGCGACCAUGAAGCAAGGCCCUUGCCUAUGAAUCAAGAUAAACGUCAAGUGGUGCCUUUAUCAAAUAUCGCUCUGGUGCCGGGGGAUGUCCAUUGCAAUUUCGGGGAGCACAAAUUAUUCGCCAUCGAAUAGAGACGUCCAACUAGUAGCCAAUGACCAUUGUCGAAAAGCAGAAAUUUUAGCACUUCGAAAAAGGCAACCAUUGGAUAGAUAGUAUGUAUCACGAGACCACCAGUUUUCUCAAUGAUGUGAUAUCUCUAUCCAUCGAUAAUCAAACAAUCCAAAUUGGAUUAGUCAAAUACGAAUAAAGUAACAAAAGGAGAUUCAUUUCAUGGGUCAGUGAUGUGAGAUUAAUGGAAUCACAAACUUUGACGUAAAUUGCAUGAAAUGAAUUACUAAAUUUGAAAAUUAGAUAAGACAUGAAAUAAAAUGAUUAUAAUUAGCUCAAAUAUGGAAGGCGGGUUGCCCAGUUUGUGAUGGCACAAAGAAAUCAAAAUUAAUUUGUGCACUUUAUUCACCCGCUAGCACACAUACAUAAAUCAAACCUAGUUACUAAUCUACUCCCAUGGAUUAAGUGAGAGCACCUCAUCUCUAAUUCCACAACAUUUCCGAAGUUGGAUACGACAACGCUGCUCCAAUUUUCAUUGGAUAAUGACAAUAAAAAUUCUUACACUCGUGUUAGUCUGUCACAUUUACUUUUCAAAUUCUUUUUCUCGAUUAUUUAAAUAUUAAAAUCUGUCGCUAUCCUUCAAGUUAGUUAUUUCAUUAACUUCCCAACUUUUAGUUGAUGAAAAAGUCUAGGCUGGCAUUUUUUAUUAUUUAUUUCUUCUACAAGGGCGACAUUUUGUGUUCAUCCAUUUACGUUUUAUAAAAUUACUUAUUAAAGAAAAAUGAAUUUUUUUUUUUGAGCUUGUGAGAUUAAAAGGAAAGGGGGCGGCAAUGUGUUGUGCCCUCUAUAGCCCACCUCCCUUGUCAGGGUUGAGGUAAGGGUGAUUGGCCCUCACUUCGCCGUAACCGCAAGCUACGAUUCUUGCCACCACCAGGUAAGGGCUACGGCGACCAUGAAGCAAGGCCCUUGCCUAUGAAUCAAGAUAAACGUCAAGUGGUGCCUUUAUCAAAUAUCGCUCUGGUGCCGGGGGAUGUCCAUUGCAAUUUCGGGGAGCACAAAUUAUUCACCAUCGAAUAGAGACGUCCACCUAGUAGCCAAUGACCGUUGUCGAAAAGCAGAAAUUUUACCACUUCGAAAAAGGCAACCACUGGUAGAUAGUAUGUAUCACGAGACAACCAGUUUUCUCAAUGAUGUGACAUCUCUAUGGCUAAUCAAACAAUCCAAAUUAGAUUAGUCAAAUACGAAUCAAGUAACAAAAGGAGAUUCAUUUCAUGGGUCAGUGAUGUGAGAUUAAUAGCAUCACAAACUUUGACGUAAAUUGCAUGAAAUGAAUUCCUAAAUUUGUAAAUUAGAUAAGACGUGAAACAAAAUGAUUAUAAUUAGUGCAAAUAUGGAAGGCUGGUUGCACAGUUUGUGAUGGCACAAAGAAAUCAAAAUUAAUUUGCGCACUUUAUUCACCCGCUAGCACACAUUCGUAAAUCAAAACUAGUUACUAAUCUACUGCCAUGGGUUAAGUGAGAGCACCUCAUCUUCAAUUCCACAACAUUUCCGAAGUUGGAUACAAGAACGCUACUCCAAUUUUCAUUGGAUAAUGGCAAUGAAAAUUCUUACAAUCGUCUCAGUCCGUCACGUUUAGUUUUCAAAUUCUUUUUCUCGAUUAUUUAAAUAUUAAAAUCCGUCGUCAUCCUUCAAGCUAGUCAUUUCAUUAACUUCCCAAAUUUUAGUUGAUGGAAAAGUCUACGCUAGCAUUUUUUAUUAUUUAUUUCUUCUACAAGGGCGACAUUUUGUGUUCAUCCAUUUACGUAUUAUAAAAUUAUUUAUUAAAGAAAAAUGAUUUUUUUUUUUGAGCUUGUGAGAUUAAAAGGAAAGGGGGCGGCAAUGUGUUGUGCCCUCUAUAGCCAACCUCCCUUGUCGGGGUUGAGGUAAGGGUGGUUGGCCCUCACUUGGCCAUAAGCGCAGGCUACGAUUCUUGCCACCACCAGGAAAGGGCUGCUGCGGCCAUUCAGCAAGGGCCCUUGCCUGGGAAUCAAGAUAAACGUCAAGUGGGGUCUUUAUCAAAAAUCGCUCUGGUGCUAGGGGAUGUCAAUUGCAAUUUCGCGGAAGACAAAUUGUUCGCCAUCGAAUAGAGACGUCCAACUAGUAGCCAAUGACCGUUGUCGAAAAGCAUAAAUUUUAGCACUUCGAAAAAGGCAACCACUGGUAGAUAGUAUGUAUCACGAGACAACCAGUUUUCUCAAUGAUGUGACAUCUCUAUUGCUAAUCAAACAAUCCAAAUUGGAUUAGUCAAAUACGAAUAAAGUAACAAAAGGAGAUUCAUUUCAUGGGUCAGUGAUGUGAGAUUAAUGGCAUCACAAACUUUGACGUAAACUGCAUGAAAUGAAUUACUAAAUUUGUAAAUUAGAUAAGACGUGAAACAAAAUGAUUAAAAUUAGCUCAAAUAAGGAUGGCUGGUUGCACAGUUUGUGAUGGCACAAAGAAAUCAAAAUUAAUUUGCGCACUUUAUUCACCCGCUAGCACACAUUCGUAAAUCAAAACUAGUUACUAAUCUACUGCCAUGGGUUAAGUGAGAGCACCUCAUCUUCAAUUCCACAACAUUUCCGAAGUUGGAUACGAGAACGCUACUCCAAUUUUCAUUGGAUAUUGGCAAUGAAAAUUCUUCCACUCGUCUCAGUCCGUCCCAUUUAGUUUUCAAAUUCUUUUUCUCGAUUAUUUAAAUAUUAAACUCCGUCGUCAUCCUUCAAGUUAGUCAUUUCAUUAACUUCCCAACUUUUAGUUGAUGGACAAGUCUAGGCUAGCAUUUAUUAUUAUUUAUUUCUUCUACAAGGGAGACUUUUUGUUUUCAUCCAUUUAGGUUUUAUAAAAUUAUUUAAUAAAGAAAAAUGAUUUUUUUUUUUGAGCUUGUGAGAUUAAAAGGAAAGGGGGCGGCAAUGUGUUGUGCCCUUUAUCGCCAACAUCCCUUGUCGGGGUUGAGGUAAGGGUGGUUGGCCCUCUCUUGGCCAUAAGCGCAGGCUAGGAUUCUUGCCACCACCAGGCAAGGGCUGCUGCGGCCAUGAAGCAAGGGCCCUUGCUUAUGAAUCAAGAUAAACGUCAAGUGGUGUCUUUAUGAAAUAUCGCUUUGGUGCCAGGGGAUGUCAAUUGCAAUUUCGAGGAGGACAAAUUGUUCGCCAUCGAAUAGAGGCGUCCAACUAGUAGCCAAUGACCGUUGUCGAAAAGCAGAAAUUUUAGCACUUCGAAAAAGGCAACCACUGGUAGAUAGUAUGUAUCACGAGACAACCAGUUUUCUCAAUGAUUUGAUAUCUCUAUGGCUAAUCAAACAAUCCAAAUUGGAUUAGAAAAAUACGAAUAAAGUAACAAAAGGAGAUUCAUUUCAUGGGUCAGUGAUGUGAGAUUAAUGGAAUCACAAACUUUGACGUAAACUGCAUGAAAUGAAUUACUAAAUUUGAUAAUUAGAUAAGACUUAAAAAAAAAAGAGAUUAUAAUUAGCUCAAAUAUGGAAGGCGGGUUGCGCAGUUUGUGAUGGCACAAAGAAAUCAAAAUUAAUUUGUGCACUUUAUUCACCCGCUAGCGCACAUGCGUAAAUCAAAACUAGUUACUAAUCUAGUCCCAUGGAUUAAGUGAGAGCACCCCAUGUUCAAUUCCACAACAUUUCCGAAGUUGGAUACGAGAACGCUACUCCAAUUUUCAUUGGAUAUUGGCAAUGAAAAUUCUUACACUCGUCUCAGUCCGUCCCAUUUAGUUUUCAAAUUCUUUUUCUCGAUUAUUGAAAUAUUAAAAUCCGUCGUCAUCCUUUCAAGCUAGUCAUUUCAUUAACUUCCCACCUUUUAGUUGAUGGAAAAUUCUAGGCUAGCAUUUUUUCUUAUUUAUUUCUUCUACAAGGGUGACAUUUUGUGUUCAUCCAUUUACGUUUUAUAAAAUUAUUUAUUAAAGAAAAAUGAUUUUUUUUUUUUGAGCUUGUGAGAUUAAAAGGAAAGGGGGCAGCAAUCUGUUUUGCCCUCUAUAGCCAACCUCCCUUGUCGGGGUUGAGGUAAGGGUGGUUGGCCCUCUCUUGGCCAUAAGCGCAGGCUACGAUUCUUGCCACCACCAGGCCAGGACUACUGCGGCCUUGAAGCAAGGGCCCUUGCCUGUGAAUCAAGAUAAACGUCAAGUGGUGUCUUUAUCAAUUAUCGCUUUGGUGCCGGGGAUGUCAAUUGCAAUUUCGACGAGGACAAAUUGUUCACCAUCGAAUAGAGACGUCGAACUAGUAGCGAAUGACCAUUGUCGAAAAGCGGAAAUUUUAGCACUUCGAAAAAGGCAACCCCUGGUAGAUAGUAUGUAUCACGAGACCACCAGUUUUCUCAAUGAUGUAAUAUCUCUAUGGCUAAUCAAACAAUCCAAAUUGGAUUAGUCAAAUACGAAUAAAGUAACAAAAGCAGAUUCAUUUCAUGGGUCAGUGAUGUGAGAUUAAUGGAAUCACGAACUUUGACGUAAAUUGCAUGAAAUGAAUUACUAAAUUUGUAAAUUAGAUAAGACGUGAAACAAAAUGAUUAUAAUUAGCUCAAAUAUGGAAGGCGGGUUGCACAGUUUGUGAUGGCACAAAGAAAUCAAAAUUAAUUUGUGCACUUUGUUCACCCGCUAGCGCACAUGCGUAAUUCAAAACUAGUUACUAAUCUACUCCCAUGGGUUAAGUGAGAGCACCUCAUCUUCAAAUCCACAACAUUUCCGAAGUUGGAUACCAGAACGCUACUCCAAUUUUCAUUGGAUAUUGGCAAUGAAAAUUCUUACACUCGUCUCGGUCCAUCACAUUUAGAUUUCAAAUUCUUUUUCUCGAUUAUUUAAAUAUUAAAAUCCGUCGUCAUCCUUCAAGCUAGUCAUUUCAUUAACUUCCCAACUUUUAGUUGAUGGAAAAGUCUAGGCUAGCAUUUUUUCUUAUUUAUUUCUUCUACAAUGGCGACAUUUUGUGUUCAUCCAUUUACGUUUUAUAAAAUUAUUUAUUAAAGAAAAAUGAUUUUUUUUUUGAGCUUGUGAGAUUAAAAGGAAAGGGGGCGGCAAUGUGUUUUGCCCUCUAUAGCCAACCUCCCUUGUCGGGGUUGAGGUAAGGGUGGUUGGCCCUCUCUUGGCCAUAAGGGCAGGCUACGAUUCUUGUCACCACCAGGCAAGGGCUACUGCGGCCUUGAAGCAAGGGCCCUUGCUUGUGAAUCAAGAUAAACGUCAAGUGGUGUCUUUAUCAAAUAUCGCUUUGGUGCCGGGGAUGUCAAUUGCAAUUUCGAUGAGGACAAAUUGUUCGCCAUCGAAUAGAGACGUCCAACUAGUAGCCAAUGACCGUUGUCGAAAAGCAGAAAUUUUAGCACUUCGAAAAAGCCAACCACUGGUAGAUAGUAUGUAUCACGAGACAACCAGUUUUCUCAAUGAUGUGACAUCUCUAUGGCUAAUCAAACAAUCCAAAUUGGAUUAGUCAAAUACGAAUAACUAACAAAAGGAGAUUCAUUUCAUGGGUCAGUGAUGUGAGAUUAAUGGAAUCAGAAACUUUGACGUAAACUUAAUGAAAUGAAUUACUAAAUUUGAAAAUUAGAUAACACGUGAAACAAAAUGAUUAUAAUUAGCUCAUAUAUGGAAGGCUGGUUGCCCUCUAUAGCCAACCUCCCUUGUCGGGGUUGAGGUAAGGGUGGUUGGCCCUCACUUGGCCAUAAGCGCAGGCUACGAUUCUUGCCACCACCAGGCAAGGGCUGCUGCGGCCAUGAAGCAAGGGCCCUUGCCUGUGAAGCAAGAUAAACGUCAAGUGGUGUCUUUAUCAAAUAUCGCUCUGGUGCCGGGGGAUGUCAAUUGCAAUUUCGGGGCGGACAAAUUGUUCGCCAUCGAAUAGAGACGCCCAACUAGUAGCCAAUGACCAUUGUGGAAAAGCAGAAAUUUUAGCUCUUCGAAAACGGCAACCACUGGUAGAUAGUAUGUAUCACGAGACCACCAGUUUUCUCAAUGAUGUGAUAUCUCUAUGGCUAAUCAAACAAUCCAAAUUGGAUUAGUCAAAUACGAAUAAAGUAACAAAAGGAGAUUCAUAUCCUGGGUCAGUGAUGUGAGAUUAAUGGCAUCACAAACUUUGACGUAAACUGCAUGAAAUGAAUUACUAAAUUUGUAAAUUAGAUAAGACGUGAAACAAAAUGAUUAUAAUUAGCUCAAAUAUGAGAGGCUGGUUGCACAGUUUGGGAUGGCACAAAGAAAUCAAAAUUAAUUUGCGCACUUUAUUCACCCGCUAGAGCACAUGCGUAAAUCAAAGCUAUUUACUAAUCUACUCCCAUGGGUUAAGUGAGAGCACCUCAUCUUCAAUUCCACAACAUUUCCGAAGUUGGAUACGAGAACGCUACUCCAAUUUUCAUUGGAUAUUGGCAAUGAAAAUUCUUACACUCGUCUCAGUCCGUCACAAUUACUUUUCAAAUUCUUUUUCUCGAUUAUUUAAAUAUUAGAAUCCAUCGUCAUCCUUCAAGUUAGUCAUUUCAUUAACUUCCCAACUUUUAGUUGAUGGAAAAGUCUACGCUACCAUUUAUUAUUAUUCAUUUCUUCUACAAGGGCGACUUUUUGUGUUCAUCCAUUUACGUUUUAUAAAAUUAUUUAUUAAAGAAAAAUGAUGUUUUUUUUGAGCUUGUGAGAUUAAAAUGAAAGGGGGUGGCAAUGUGUUGUGCCCUCUAUAGCCAACCUCCCUUGUCGGGGUUUAGGUAAGGGUGGUUGGCCCUCACUUGGCCAUAAGCGCAGGCUAGGAUUCUUGGCACCACCAGGCAAGGGCUGCUUCGGCCAUGAAGCAAGGGCCCUUGCCUGUGAAGCAAGAUAAACGUCAAGUGGUAUCUUUAUCAAAUACCGCUCUGGUGCCGGGGGAUGUCAAUUGCAAUUUCGGGGCGGACAAAUUGUUCGCCAUCGAAUAGAGACGCCCAACUAGUAGCCAAUGACCAUUGUGGAAAAGCAGAAAUUUUAGCUCUUCGAAAAAGGCAACCACUGGAAGAUAGUAUGUAUCACGAGACCACCAGUUUUCUCAAUGAUGUGACAUCUCUAUGGCUAAUCAAACAAUCCAAAUUGGAUUAGUCAAAUACGAAUAACUAACAAAAGGAGAUUCAUUUCAUGGGUCAGUGAUGUGAGAUUAAUGGAAUCAGAAACUUUGACGUAAACUUAAUGAAAUGAAUUACUAAAUUUGAAAAUUAGAUAACACGUGAAACAAAAUGAUUAUAAUUAGCUCAUAUAUGGAAGGCUGGUUGCCCUCUAUAGCCAACCUCCCUUGUCGGGGUUGAGGUAAGGGUGGUUGGCCCUCACUUGGCCAUAAGCGCAGGCUACGAUUCUUGCCACCACCAGGCAAGGGCUGCUGCGGCCAUGAAGCAAGGGCCCUUGCCUGUGAAGCAAGAUAAACGUCAAGUGGUGUCUUUAUCAAAUAUCGCUCUGGUGCCGGGGGAUGUCAAUUGCAAUUUCGGGGCGGACAAAUUGUUCGCCAUCGAAUAGAGACGCCCAACUAGUAGCCAAUGACCAUUGUGGAAAAGCAGAAAUUUUAGCUCUUCGAAAAAGGCAACCACUGGUAGAUAGUAUGUAUCACGAGACCACCAGUUUUCUCAAUGAUGUGAUAUCUCUAUGGCUAAUCAAACAAUCCAAAUUGGAUUAGUCAAAUACGAAUAAAGUAACAAAAGGAGAUUCAUAUCCUGGGUCAGUGAUGUGAGAUUAAUGGCAUCACAAACUUUGACGUAAACUGCAUGAAAUGAAUUACUGAAUUUGUAAAUUAGAUAAGACGUGAAACAAAAUGAUUAUAAUUAGCUCAAAUAUGAGAGGCUGGUUGCACAGUUUGUGAUGGCACAAAGAAAUCAAAAUUAAUUUGCGCACUUUAUUCACCCGCUAGCGCACAUGCGUAAAUCAAAACUAUUUACUAAUCUACUCCCAUGGGUUAAGUGAGAGCACCUCAUUUUCAAAUUCUUUUUCUCGAUUAUUUAAAUAUUAAAAUCCGUCGUCAUGCUUCAAGUUAGUCAUUUCAUUAACUUCCCAACUGUUAGUUGAUGGAAAAGUCUACGCUAGCAUUUAUUAUUAUUCAUUUCUUCUACAAGGGCGACUUUUUGUGUUCAUCCAUUUACGUUUUGUAAAAUUAUUUAUUAAAGAAAAAUGAUUUUUUUUUUAGCUUGUGAGAUUAAAAGGAAAGGGGGCGGCAAUGUGUUGUGCCCUCUAUAGCCAACCUCCCUUGUCGGGGUUUAGGUAAGGGUGGUUGGCCCUCUCUUGGCCAUAAGCGCAGGCUAGGAUUCUUGGCACCACCAGGCAAGGGCUGCUAUGGCCAUGAAGCAAGGGCCCUUGCCUGUGAAUCAAGAUAAACGUCGACUGGUGUCUUUAUCAAAUAUCGCUCGGGUGCCGGGGGAUGUCAAUUGCAAUUUCGGGGAGGACAAAUUGUUCGCCAUCGAAUAGAGAGGUCCAACUAGUAACCAAUGACCGUUGUCGAAAAGCAGAAAUUUUACCACUUGGAAAAAGGCAACCACUGGUAGAUAGUAUGUAUCACGAGACAACCAGUUUUCUCAAUGAUGUGAUAUCUCUAUGGCUAAUCAAACAAUCCAAAUUGGAUUAGUCAAAUACGAAUAAAGCAACAAAAGGAGAUUCAUUUCAUGGGUCAGUGAUGUGAGAUUAAUGGAAUCACAAACUUUGACGUAAACUGCAUGAAAUGAAUUACUAAAUUUGUAAAUUAGAUAAGACGUGAAACAAAAUGAUUAUAAUUAACUCAAAUAUGGAAGGCGGGUUGCAUAGUUUGUGAUGGCACAAAGAAAUCAAAAUUAAUUUGUGCACUUUAUUCACCCGCUAGCACACAUGCGUAAAUCAAAACUAGUUACUAAUCUACUCCCAUGGGUUAAGUGAGACCAGCUGAUCUUAAUUUCCACAAUAGUUCCGAAGUUGGAUACGAGAACUCUACUCCAAUUUUCAUUGGAUAUUGGCAAUGAAAAUUCUUACACUCAUCUCAGUCUGUCACAUUUAGUUUUCAAAUUCUUUUUCUCGAUUUUUUAAAUAUUAAAAUCCGUCAUCAUCCUUCAAGUUAGUCAUUUCAUUAACUUCCCAACUUUUAAGUGAUGGAAAAGUCUAGGGUAGCAUUUUUUAUUAUUUAUUUCUUCUACAAGGGCGACAUUUUGUGUUCAUUCAUUUACGUUUUAUAAAAUUAUUUAUUAAAGAAAAAUGAUUUUUUUUUUUGAGCUUGUGAGAUUAAAAGGAAAGGAGGCGGCAAUGUGUUGUGCCCUCUAUAGCCAACCUCCCUUGUCGGGGUUGAGGUAAGGGUGGUUGGCCCUCACUUGGCCAUAAGCAUAGGCUACGAUUCUUGCCACCACCAGGCAAGGGCUGCUGCGGCCAUGAAGCAAGGGCCCUUGCCUGUGAAUCAAGAUAAACGUCAAGUGGUGCCUUUAUCAAAUAUCCCUCUGGUGCCAGGGGAUGUCAAUUGCAAUUUCUGGGAGGACAAAUUUUCCGCCGUCGAAUAGAGACGUCCAACUACUAGCCAAUGACCGUUGUGGAAAAGCAGAAAUUUUAGCACUUUGAAAAAGACCACCACUGGAUAGAUAGUAUUUAUCACAAGACCACCAGUUUUCUCAAUGAUGUGAUAUCUCUAUGUUUAAUCAAACAAUCCAAAUUGGAUUAGUCAAAUUCGAAUACCGUAAGAAAAGGAGAUUCAUUUCAUGGGUCAGUGAUGUGAAAUUAAUGGAAUCACAAAGUUUGAUGUAAACCGCAUGAAAUGAUUUACUAAGUUUGUAAAUUAGAUAAGACGUGAAACAAAAUCAUUAUAAUUAGCUCAAAUAUGGAAGACUGGUUGCACAGUUUGUGAUGGCACGAAGAAAUCAAAAUUAAUUUGCGCACUUUAUUCACCCGCUAGCACACAUGCAUAAAUCAAACCUUGUUACUAAUCUACUCCCAUGGGUUAAGUGAGAGCACCUCAUCUCCAAUUCCACAACAUUUCCGAAGUUGGCUACGACAACGCUGCUCCAAUUUUCAUUGGAUAAGACAAUGAAAAUUCUUACACUCGUGUUAGUCCGUCACAUUUACUUUUCAAAUUCUUUUUCUCGAUUUUUUAAAUAUUAAAAUCCGUCGUCAUCCUUCAAGUUAGUCAUUUCAUUAACUUCCCAACUUUUAGUUGUUGGAAAAGUCUAGGCUGGCAUUUUUAUUAUUUAUUUCCUCUACAAGGGCGACAUUUUGUGUUCAUCCAUUUAUGUUUUAUAAAAUUAUUUAUCAAAGAAAAUUGAACUUGUUUUUUUUUUUUUUAAAAUUUUGAGCUUGUAAGAUUAAAAGGAAAGGGGGACGGCAAUGUGUUGUGCCCUCUAUAGCCAACCUCCCUUGUCGGGGUCGAGGCAAGGCUGCUGCAACCAUGAAGCAAGGGCCCUUGCCUGUGAAUCAAGAUAAACGUAAAGUGUUGCCUUAAUCAAAUAUGGUUCAUAUUAUUGUAACUCACUGAAGCAAAAAAAUGAAACUCAAUGAAACCAAAAAAAAAAAAAGUUCUUGGUACACCUUGGAAUCAGAUUAAAAAAUAUGACACGUUCUAAGGUUAGUUCUAGGACAAAUAGAGUAGGUUACAAGUUUCAAAAACUGAUAAUUAGUUUUACCAUAGCACGUUCUAAAUUUCAUGUUUUAGGUUUAGAAUAGGAUCACCCCUAAAAUUCAUUAUUGAUUGUACAUCAGAAUAUAAUAUAGUGUAAUACAAUAAUUAUGGGCAAGAAAUGAGAGUUCGUUAAUAAAGUAAGUGCUAAAAUUACAACAUCAGAUGCCUAAAAGAUUUAUUUACGAUUGAGAUUAGAUAGAUGCUCUUGAGGAUGUCCUUCAGAGAAAUACAUAAGGACGGUGAUUUGAACCUAGGAGCAUGUACGGAUCGCUUGGUGAUUUGUUUUAUAUGCCAGUUCACUUUAUAAGUAAAGCCAACGACUUCUGGAAAAAAAAAUCUCAGUACAGGCCAAGCCUCAACCUGUUCCUUGAACACCAUGAGAAACUCGUCAUUUCUCCUUGCGCUUGUUCUCUCAAUCCUUCACUUGUCUUCUCAACCUUCCUCUGCGACUCGCACUACUUUGAGAAGAGGCGACUCUCUCUCCGUUGAUAACCCAGAUGACAUCCUCAUCUCAAAAUCUGGUGUCUUCUCCGCCGGUUUUUACCCCGUCGGCAAGAACGCUUACUGCUUUGCCAUCUGGUUCAGCCAUCCACCAUGCAGCGGCCAGAAUUGCACCAUAGUUUGGAUGGCAAACCGUGAUGAACCCGUCAACGGGAGGUACUCUAAGCUUUCCGUUAAAAAGAACGGUGAUCUCGUGCUAACCGACGCCAGCCACGGUGUUGUUUUGGCCAUUUAUACAGCCUUACGCUCGAGGUCAAAAACACCGGUUCAUCAGUUACAACUCCUAGAAUCUGGUAAUCUUGUUCUUCGUGACAGAGAAGGCAAGGUCCUGCUCUGGCAAAGCUUCAACUACCCAACCGACGUGCUCCUCCCUGGACAAACCCUGACCAGGAACUCACCACUUGUUUCCUCUCGGAGCAACGGCAACUUCUCUUCUGGCUAUUACCAGUUAUACUUCGACAACGACACGUCCUUCGUCUCUCUUCAAUGGACCUUUGAUCUCAAGCGUAUACUGGCCAGACCCGACCCAUGUGAGUUGGGAAGUUGGAAGAACAACUACAACGAUAGUAGAGUUGCAGUGCUCGAUCCCUGGGGAAGUUCACUUCAUCUGACAAUCUGACGUUCCUGACGUCGGAUUUUGGCAAGAAAACACAACGUAUGUUAAAGGUGGAUCACGAUGGUAAUGUAAGGGUCUAUAGUAGAGACAAAGAUGAGAAGUGGGUUGUAACACGGCAAGGCUUAUCUGAGUCAUGUGCUGUUCAUGGGAUUUGUGGACGGAAUAGUGUUUGCAGGUACAGCCCGAGGGAGGGAAGGAGUUGCUCUUGCCUUCCUGGAUAUGUGUGGAAUAAUGACACUGAUUGGACUCAGGGAUGUGCGCCCAAAUUCGAGAGCUUCUGCAACAAGGGUUCUGAUGCUCAUGUCGAUUUCCUGCGUUUGCCUCACCAUGAUUUCUUUGGAUAUGAUAAGGACUAUACUCCAAACACUACCCUGGCGUCGUGCAAGAAAAUGUGCGCAGAUAUUUGCAAUUGUAAAGGCUUUCAAUACAAAUUCAACGGGGAAAAAGGGAGCUUCGACUGUUUCCCCAAGAUACUGCUGUUAAAUGGAUAUAAUUCGUUCUCAUUUAGUGGGAGCAUCUAUUUGAAACUACCAAAAGCUAAUCUCUCUUCUUAUCAAAUACCCACCAAAGGAUUCGACCCACAGCCCUGUCCCCCAAAAGCUCAAGAAGUUUUCCUGCAGAGGACUUAUCUGAAGAGCCACCAGAAUUCGACACUUGAGAUCUUGCUCAUUUUUGCUACGGCACUGGCUGGAGUGGAAAUUGUUGUAGUCUUCCUCACAUGGUCCUUUUUGAUCAGGACUGAUCCUGACAAACGUGGAGGUCAUGCAAAGGGAUAUCGUCUUGCGGGGACAGGAUUUACAAGGUUCACAUAUGCCGAGCUAAAGAAAGCGACCAGGAACUUUAACAAAGAGAUUGGAAGAGGAAGUGGGGGGAUUGUGUACAAGGGUGUCUUGCCAGAUCAUGGCGAAGCAGCGGUCAAGCUGCUAAACGAGGCGAAUCAAGGAGAAGAUGAGUUCCUGGCUGAAGUGAGAACAAUUGGAAAUCUCAAUCACAUGAACCUUAUUGCGAUGUGGGGUUACUGCGUGGAGGGAAGGCACAGGCUCUUGGUUUAUGAGUUCAUGAAUCACGGUUCUUUGGCAGAAAACCUUUCUUCCGAUCAACUCGACUGGAAGAAGAGGUAUGAGAUCGCGGUGGGAUCAGCCAAGGGGCUUGCUUAUCUUCACGAGGAGUGCUUGGAAUGGGUUCUCCAUUGCGACGUGAAGCCACAGAACAUACUCCUCGAUUCCGAUUACC